UAGUUUUUCAUUUUAGCAAACAGCCCAAUUGAUACAAUAUUCUUCUCAGAAUACUCAGCACUUUUCAGUUCAGCUGAAAUUGUGCAAACUCUCAGAAAACUCUUUCAGAAUUUUUGUUAUUGGAAAAGUGAGUUCUCAGGCCUGUUUCAGUUUUUGUAACACCAUCUAUAUAUAAGCUUAAAAUUUCCUUUUGCUUAUCAGUUUAGCUUUUAUGGCUUAUAUCUGCAAUUUAUGUGAAUCAGGUUCCUGACUUCUGAGAUCGGAAUCAGCACAGUUUUUAUUUGAAGUCAGUUGGAAUCCUAUCACCUCGGCUCACUAAUGCCAUGUGCACCUUCACGCAACGCGAGAGGAAGAAGCGCUCCUAUUACCUUGUUUAAUUAGACUAUCUAAGCAAUGUCAGCUCCUAUAUUUGUAUUUUAUCUAAGCAUCAUUUAGACUUGAUAUUCUCAAAACUGUUAUCUAAGCAUGCCAGUAAUACUCAUCGCACUUUUGAUUCUUAACAUUCUAUUCUCCUGAUUUGUUGAACUGCAUGGUUGUGUACCGUGGACACAACCAGAUUUAAUUGUCUCCGUAGGGACUGGUUCAAGUCUUCAACCUAGGUAGUUUAGUUUCAAAAGUAAAAUAAAAAUGUUGUAGCUUAGUUUCAAUACUGCUCUUGAGCGAAUUUGUGUAGAACAUGUAGCAUUCAUCAUUCAGCAGAACAUGUAGUUUAGUGCUACAUAUGCUCGCUGGACUGGAACCCGUGAGCUUGCGUUCGUCUGGAAAUACGUAGGUAGUAUGCGCCUGUGUCACCACGAUUCCGUCAACCCUGCCGCGAGCCAACUUUGGCUCUGUUUGGAUCCAUGGAUUAGAGUUAGUUUGGGUUAGUUUGGACUCAACUAACCCAAAAAUAUUCAAACAGAAGGGUUAGUUUGGGUUAGAUGCAUCUAACCCAUUCAAAAAGUCUAACCCAUUCAAGAGGUGCUUAUUUGGGUUAGUUCUUUUUAGGACCAUUAAAAAACACAUUUUUCUCUCGCUUUUCCUGCAACAGAUCCCUCCUCACUUCCUCGAAGCUUCUCCUCCUCUUCCUCCCUACCUCUCGCACUGUCCGUGAAGGCGUCUCGCCGUAUCCGCGCUUCAUCUAACCCUGCCAUCCAAACACCUCUCUAGCUAGAGUUAGUUUAGAGUUAGUUCAGGGUUAGAAUCUAACUCUAAUCUCUAACUGAGUUAGAAAAUCCAAACAGGGCCUUUGUUCGCCGGGAAACAGACCACGUAAAGCUAUGCUCAAUUAGUUGCGCAGUCUGGGGCAAGCCUUUUAUACUUGCUUGGGAACCAAAGGGAGACAGUUUCCUAUCUGGUGUAAGUUAUGGCCUUUCAGUUUUCACUGUGCAAGCCAAAGCUGAGUAAAAGAAAAAAAAGAGCAAGGGUGUGUUGUCUACAUACUGCAGGACCGGACUGUGGGCUGACCGAAGAUAAAGAUGGUGCCGGACAGAGCAGUUGAAGCUCUCUACCCAUAGCGUUGCUUUACAUUGUACAGACUACAGACGCUUUCUGUUGUUGGUCAGCAAUGCAGUUUCCAGUUCGAUGAAAGUCUAAUUUACCUUGCCAAAGCUGAGGAAAAAGUAAGGAUUCUUGUCCCCAUGCUGCAGAAUUGGACAACAGGCAGAACUGUGUUCGCGGCUAAAUUUCGUGUUUAACCCUUUAUCAAGAAGUACUUUAGUUUGAAAAAAAUUUAGGAUCUGACCCUUUCCUACCGCUAGGGGGUAUAGCGGUAGGGUAUAGCAGCCUACCACCAAGGCCCCUGACGGUAACAAACUUGACCACGUCAGCACAACACAUCCCUACCGCCACAGAGGAUGGCGGUAGCAUGCGUAACCCUACCAUCAAGGUGCCCGGUGGUAGGUGCACACACGCAUUGUGUCUGAAACUUAUUUUUUUUUGCGAUAGGACGUGCAACCCUACGGCCAGGUACCUCGGCGGUAGGCUGUUAUACCCUACCGCCAUGCCCCUUGGUGGUAGGAAAAGGGUCAGAUCCCGAAUUUUUUACAAACUAGGGUCAAAUCCCGAACGACUUCUCCAAAAGAGUCAAAACACAAAAUUUUGCCUGUGUUCACAAGGGUGAUCCCUCGUUCUUGUCCUUGGCCAGUCAGAUGAUUACUCGUGGCCCUACAAAGGUGGGCCCAUGCAACACAAGUAAAUGAGUCAAAAGCACCCAAGCCCUAGAACAAUUUGAAAAUGUCCACCACGCCGUUCUAAAACUUGUGGCAGAUGUGACAAUUUGGUCCUGAGCGAAAGAGAGAGCCAAGUGGCGUCUAGGUGGAUGACCCCGUCGUUGACUGAACUUUAUUGUUUCAAAUGCAAGAUGAAGAAUUCGAAAAGUAACACAAAUUCCGUCUCAAGCUCAAAUUCCUCUAGUGAAAAUAAUUGUUUCAAAUGCAAGAAGAAUAGCCAUUUCAUCGCCGAUUGUCUUGAGUGGGAAGUAGAAGAGCAAGGAACAGUGGCAAGUUCAACAUGGGCAGUUGUUGAGACACUCCCUUCGAUCCGGUAGUAGAUACAUCCGUUUAAGCAACAAGUAAUAUGGAUCGGAGCGGCAAGUAAUAUGGAUCCGAAGGAGUAGUAAAAUUCGUGUCAAUGAUGAAAUUAGUAUUGAGCGAAAUUUACUUGGUAGAUGUCAAGUUUCUGUGAUGCACAAUAACAACAGUUAUGUUAGUUUUCUUAUUAGUUCUGUCACUAGUUGUGUCAUACUACUCGAUUUUGGCACUAAAAGUGUCAACUAUCUAAAAAUGCAAUCCUUCUGUUAAGCGUGUGCUUAGAAAUGAUAGUCGACACCUUUAUCGUCGGUCAAAGACAAUUGGCCGUGGUAAUUUGGCCAUUGCACUCCGGUUAGUGGCCUUUAACCGUGCGAUGGUGAGUUGCAUUUUUAGCACACAUUUAAUGAAAAUAUGGCAUUUUUGAGUUGUUGACACUUGUAGUGGCGAAAAUGAAGGAGUGCCGACACAACCAAUGGCAAAACAGAUAAAAGAACCAUUAUGUUAGUACUAUUUUUUUCGAGAGCACACAAAUUGCGUACCAUAGCUUGAUAGAAGAUAGAAAGCGUAUGUACAAGAGUUUAGAUGCAUCAAAGCCACAAGUCGUCUCAGGCAUGAAGGACACUCCACUCCUACUCCUGCUAUCUCACACUACUACUCACACCACACGCUAACUCCUUUUCCUCCUGCAAGCGUCCACAAAUGUACCUCUUCGAAGAUCCUUGUGACUAGCUCCGUGGCACUCAUCCAACUGGAAUUAUCGCGGAACACUCGGUUGUUUCUUUGUUUCCAUAUGCUCCAACAAACUAGGCUCACAAGUGAGUCGAAAGCACGACGGUGUGUUUUGUGGAUGUGUUUGCGAGCAGCACCCCACCAAGUCUCCAGAGUGUUGUUGCCAUCGGGUAUGAGUAGUGUAUCUAUCCUGCUUCUGGAGAAGGUCGUGAACCAUACUUGCUUAGAGUAGGUACAUUGAGUCAUAAUGUGGUCUACGUUGUCCUCUUUUUGGUCGCAAAGAAAGCAAGAUGAAGUUUGUUCUUGCAGACCAUGUCGCAGCCUACGGUCAGAAGUCCAGAAACGGUAUUGCAAAGCUAGCCACAUGAAGAUUUUGAUGGGUAAAGGCGCCCAACACUUCCAGAUCCAGCAAGCAAAAGCGGCCUUAAUUGCUCUCAUGAAGAGCAUCUUAUAAGCCGAAGCAGAAGUGUAGACUCCGCGUUCGUUCCAUGGCCAGAUCGCCUCAUCUUGCUGGUUGGGGAUGAGCUGCGUGUUCAACAUGAUCUCCCAAAGUCGGAUCAGCUGGAUUAGGCCAUCAGUGGACAACUCUCUUGCUAUGUCCGAUGCCCAUCUAUGAUUCAGCAAUCCAUCCUUCACCAAUCUCUUGUUGACGGUUUGGGUGCGAAUCAGUUUCUUGACAUCAGGUGCAAUAUCAUCGAUCGAGGCCCCAUCGAUCCAUCUGUCCUUCCAAAAUAGCACCUUAUCCCCAGAUCCUAAUCUCCAAUGCACCGAGCUGUUGAAAGCUAUCUGAACUUGUGGGUCGCAAGUCAUCGGCAGACCGUGCCAUGGUUUAGAAGGAUCGGUGCGACGCAUCCACUCCCAGCGCAGUCUUAAAGCUAGACCGUGUCUCUUUAGGUCCAUGAUGCCGAGGCUGCCGAGCUCUUUAGGUCUACAUACCUUUUGCCAAGAGACUAAGCACUGCCCUCCAUGAAUCUUCUCUGUUCCUUCCCAGAAGAAGGCUCGACAUCUCUUGUUCACACACUCAACAGCCCAUUUUGGUGCAUCUGCCACAUGAAGAUGAUGCGUCGGCCUAGCCAUAACGAUGUCAUGAACGAGAACCAGCCGGCCCGCACGAGUAAUAAGUCCUCGUUGCCAUCCAGGGAGGAAGUUCAAAACGUUGUCCACAAUCGGUUGCCACUUCGCUCGAGUCAGUUGCCAAAUAGAUAGCUGCAACCCGAAGUAUUUGCAUGGGAAUUUGUCCAUCUUCCAUGGUAGGGCAGCAACUACAAGUUCCUUGUCUCCCUCCUCCUCGCGGAUCAGAAUUGCCGCAGAUUUAGCAAAGUUAAUUUUCAGUCCCGAUGCUGUCCCAAAGAUGAGCAUGGCCUCUUUGAUGAACCAGAGAUCAGGCAGAGAAGGCCGGAUAAAUAGCACCACAUCAUCAGCAUAUAUCGAUAUUCUUUGCAUCGAGGAGCAGCCUGGCAUCGUACUGAGGACUCCCAUCUCCUGGCCUUUAGACACGAUCGAUGUCAGGACAUCCAUGGCGAUGACAAAGAGAAGGGGAGAGAUCGGAUCGCCUUGUUUGAGGCCUUGGGCAUGCAUGAAUUUCGGCCCAGCAUAUCCAUUUACUACCACUCUAGACGAAGCUGUGGUGAGUAGGGUUGCAAUCCAUGAAAGCCAAAGAUCAGGGAAUCCCUUGGCCCUGAGAACUUCAAAAAGGAAGGGCCAUGCUAUGGUGUCGAAAGCACGAGAUAUGUCCAGCUUAAGCAUAACUCCCUUGGCCUUCCUAUGGUGAAGGGAUCUGGCCACUUGUCGAACUAGCACGAAAUUGUCAUGCAAGUUUCUCCCUUUUAUGAAAGCCAAUUGGUUUGCUUGCACAAGUUCACACAUGCGAGGGUAUAGCCUUUUGGACAGAAGCUUCGAGUAGAUUUUGGGCAAACUGUGCACCAACGUUAUGGGUCUGAAGUCUCCAACAUGGCAGGCGUCCGACCUCUUGGGAAUGAGAGUAAUCAAGGCCUGGUUGAGCCGGCCAAAGCCAUGCCCAUUAUCCAUGAAGAUCUUGUGAAUCACCGCCAUAAUAUCAUCCUUGAUGAUGCUCCAAGCUUUCUGGAAGAAAAUACCAAUAAAUCCGUCCGGACCCGGGGCACGGUCCGAGGGCAUCUCCUUGAUGGUUGCCCACACCUCCUCCUCUAUAAAUAUCACGGUCUGAUCCUCCAAGUUCAAGGGUGUGAUGCCUAGAAAGUCUAGGUCCAAAGUGUGCUCGCGGAUAGUGGUCGUACCCAGCAACUCCUUGUAAGUAUCGUAGAAGAUGCGUUCCUUGCCAAUUUGAUUCGUGAUCAGGUUUCCCUCAUGUGAGAGAGCAGGGAUGAAAUUCUUAACUUUUCUGCCGUUGGCCACGAGGUAGAACAGUUUGGAGCUAGCGUCACCAUCCUGGAGCCAUCUAAUUCUAGACCUCUGCCGUGCAAUUGUCCUCUCUAGCGAAGCUAGACCCAAGGUGGUCAGCUUGAGAGUUCUCCUCAACCACCUCUCUCCCUCAGAGAGCCUCCUUCUUUCCUGAGCAACGUCCAGCUGGAAAAUAACCCAAUUGGCGAUAGCUAUAAGCAGCUUAACAUUGCCCGUUUUCUUCUGACCCCAAGCCGUAAGAAAUCUCGCCAUGUUUCGGAGCAGGAGGUCGAUCCUCAUAAAGGGGUCGGUGAUCUCCUGGUCGCAUUGCCAGGCUUCUCUCACCGCAUCCUCAAAUCCCUCGAUCUUUGUCCAGAACAGCUCAAACCUAAACCUCCGGUGUGGGUGCAAAUGCUCAUGCAGAGCCAAGUGCAGCAGGCAGUGGUCCGAUGAAGCCAUCGACAAGGCCUGCAGAAGGCAAUCCGGGUGCUCCAUCUCCCAAUCCACCGAAACCAGCGCUCUGUCGAUUUUGGUGAGGGUCGGGGCCUCGCGUUCGCUACUCCAAGUGAACUUCCUGCCAUGUAGGAACAAUUCUUUCAAACCAGUGCCAUCAACGAAUUGGCGAAACCUGUGCAUCAUUCUCCUAUCCAGGUUCGUAUUGCUUUUGUCCGAGGCUUGCAUAAUCAUGUUGAAGUCGCCAAUGACAAGCCAUGGCCCUGGGCAAAGCUGCCUUCUAGCAGUUAGUUCUUCCAGGAAGGCGAUUUUCUCCUCAUCUUCUUGCGGGCCAUAGACGGUGGUUAGCCACCAGGGCACACCAUCGAUGGGUGUCACGUAGCCCGUGAAAAAGUUUGUGUCAAGCACAUGGUUCGAAAUGCGCGCCAACGAAGAGUUCCAGGCAACCAUGAUACCCCCUGGUCUCAAUCGCCGGAAGAUAAGCAAACCCGUCAUAGGCGGGGCCUAAACAUUGCAUAACCGUAAAAUCAUCAAUACAUGCCAAUUUAGUCUCCUGAAUAUAGAAAAUCGCCGGGUGAGUCGUAUCUGCGAAUUCCCGCAGCGCCUUUUUCUUCGCGGGACUGUUGAGGCCGCGCAUAUUCCAGCACACCAACUCUAGAUUGGGCGACGACAUAGCAGCAGAUAGUCGCGCCGGGGCCUGCCAAUUAGGCAAGCACAAUCACCCUCGUGGCCUCCUCCUUGCCCAGGUCAAACGGGAUAGAUUUGCCGAAAAUGGCCGCAAUCGCCUUGAGCUAGGGCUCCUGGAUUGGCGAGUCGAACAGUUCAUGCAAUUGUCCCAGCGCGCCAUCGUGCACUGCCAGAUCGUCAUGCACAAUGCCAAGGGCCUUUAGCAGCACCGCCUCAGCUGCCGUGGUUAUUGGCAACCUUAGUAUUUUGUGCCAAAGUUUGAUCAUGAAUUUAAUUAACAAAAUAUUAAUGCAUGUCAUAAAAAAUAAUAUCAUUUAAAACUAUAUUCAAAUAUGAAUUUAACAAUAUAAUUUUAAUGACAUGCAUUAAUAUUUUAUCAGUUAAACCUAUAUUAAAUUUUGACACAAAAUGUGAAGAGGAUCAAUAAAUGAGGACGGAGGUAGUAAGUAAUUGUGGUUAGGCGCUGUAUUGAAUUAGCACAAAAAAGCAUAGCGACACCGAUGUGAAUGAGAAGAGUUUUUUUUACGUAAGAUCACAAUAAUUCUUUAGAGCAACUUCAAUGGGGCGAUUCAUUUCGUCCGCUGGCGUCCGUUUGGGUUCGCGCGGAUACAAAAUGCGGCCCAAUGAGCCGAUCCAAACAGAUACGCAUCCGUUUGGUGUCCGCAUGACGACCCAUUCUCGGCCCAAUUUUGAGUCGGAUUUGCAUCGGCGCGGGCACGAGACGGACACGCGCGUGCGCCUACUCCUCUCCCCGGGGCCUGCUAGUCAGUGGCAUCCACCACCAUUUCCUCCCAUUUCCCAAAAAAACCCGCCAGCGCGAGCUCCCGCCCCCACCCACCAUGGACGAAGACCUUGACCUCGACGCUGUCCUCGGCCUCGCCUUCCUCGCCUCGUCCGGCAAGAUGACCGCCCCCUCCGGCAAAGGCAAGCCUCUUGCCCUGCGCAAGACCGCCGCCGCGCCCAAGCCAAAGAAGGCGCUGACGUCCGAACAACGGGCAAGUGUGUCGGCCAAGAGAAAGGGUCGGAGGCACGCCGCGGACAUGAGGGAUGAAGCCGUCGCGGCUGCCGCCAUCGCCGCCGCCGCACAACAGGAGGUCACCAACGCCCGCAUCGCGGCGGCAACGAGGGAUGCACUCUACAUGCUAGGGUUAAACCCUAGCCAGCACAACCUCCUCAACGCCGCCAUCGCCGCGGCCAGCAUCGGCUCAUCGGCGUUUCGUCGGAUGGUGCUGCCUGACUCGCCCCGCACGUUGGCUUGCAACCUGAUGCCCAGCUUCCACGUGUACCCGCAGGCCUCCCGCCUCUCCGGGGAGUGCUCGCCCGACGUGAGCGUGGUCGCGCCUUCCACGCCCGCGCCCAUCGACCUUAACGCCACCCCGGUGGCCAGUGGCUCGUCAUCUGGAGGCGCGAGGAAACACGCACGGCAGACACCGACCGGCGUGCUCCCUGCUACCUCUUGAGAACUGCAUUGGUUUUUUCCUUGAAGAGGAAAGGGUGAUGCAGUAAAGUAGCGUAAGUAUUUCCCUCAGUUUUUGAGAACCAAGGUAUCAAUUGAAGGAAAUAUGCCCUAGAGGCAAUAAUAAAGUUAUUAUUUAUUCCUUAUAUCAUGAUAAAUGUUUAUUAUUCAUGCUAGAAUUGUAUUAACCGGAAACAUAAUACAUGUGUGAAUACAUAGACAAACAGUAUGUCACUAGUAUGCCUCUACUUGACUGGCUCGUUGAAUCAAAGAUGGUUAAGUUUCCUGGCCAUAGACAUGAGUUGUCAUUUGAUUAACGGGGUCACAUCAUUAGAGAAUGAUAUGAUUGACUUGACCCAUUCCGUUAGCAUAUCACUUGAUCGUUUAGUUUGUUGCUAUUGCUUUCUUCAUGACUUAUACAUGUUCCUAUGACUAUGAGAUUAUGCAACUCCCGUUUACCGGAGGAACACUUUGUGUGCUACCAAACAUCACAACGUAACUGAGUGAUUAUAAAGGUGAUCUACAGGUGUCUCCGAAGGUACUUGUUGGGUUGGCGUAUUUCGAGAUUAGGAUUUGUCACUCCGAUUGUCGGAGAGGUAUCUCUGGGCCCACUCGGUAAUGCACAUCACUAUAAGCCUUGCAAGCAUUGCAACUAAUGAGUCAGUUACGGGAUGAUGUGUUACGGAACGAGUAAAGAGACUUGCCGGUAACGAUAUUGAACUAGGUAUUGAGAUACCGACGAUCGAAUCUCGGGCAAGUAACAUACCGAUGACAAAGGGAACAACAUAUGUUGUUAUGCGGUCUGACCGAUAAAGAUCUUCGUAGAAUAUGUAGGAGCCAAUAUGAGCAUCCAGGUUCCGCUAUUGGUUAUUGACCGGAGACGUGUCUCGGUCAUGUCUACAUAGUUCUCGAACCCGUAGGGUCCGCACGCUUAACGCUACGAUGACAAGUAUAUUAUGAGUUUUAUGUUUUGAUGUACCGAAGGUUGUUCGGAGUCCCGGAUGUGGUCACGGACAUGACGAGGAGUCUCGAAAUGGUCGAGACAUGAAGAUUGAUAUAUUGGAAGCCUAUGUUUGGAUAUCGGAAGUGUUCCGGAUGAAAUCAGGAUUUUACCGGAGUACCAAGGGGUUACCGGAACCCCCCGGGGGCUUAAUGGGCCUACAUGGGCCUUAGUGGAAAAGGAGGGAAGCAAGGGAAGUGUGGGGUGCGCCCCCCUAGGCCCAAACCGAAUUGGUUUAGGGCAAAGGGGGCCGGCCCCCCUCUUUCCUUCUUCCCCCCUUGGCCGGCCGCACCCCCUUGGCCGGCCGCACCCCCUUGCUCCUUUAUAUACAGGGGCAGGGGGGCACCUCUAGACACACAAGUUGAUCAAGUUGAUCGUCUCUUAGCCGUGUGCGGUGCCCCCCUCCAUCAUAGUCCACCUCAAUAAUACUGUAGCGGUGCUUAGGCGAAGCCCUGCGUCGGUAGAACAUCAACAUCGUCACCACGCCAUCGUGCUGAUGAAACUCUCUCUCAACACUUGGCUGGAUCGGAGUUAGAGGGACGCAUCGGGCUGAACGUGUGCUGAACUCGGAGGUGCCGUGCGUUCGGUACUUGAUCGGUCGGAUCGUGAAGACGUACGACUACAUCAACCGCGUUGUGCUAAGGCUUCCACUUUCGGUCUACGAGGGUACGUGGACAACACUCUCCCCUCUCGUUGCUAUGCAUCACCAUGAUCUUGCGUGUGCGUAGGAAAAUUUUGGAAAUUACUACGUUCCCCAACAGUGGCAUCCGAGCCAAGUUUUAUGCGUUCAUGUAAUAUACAUGAGUAGAACACAAGUGAGUUGUGGAUGAUAUAAGUCAUACUGCUUACCAGCAUGUCAUACUUUGGUUCAGCGGUAUUGUUGGAUGAAGCGGCCCGGACUGACAUUACGUGUACGCUUACGGGAGACUGGUUCUACCGAUGUGCUUUGCACAUAGGUGGCUGGCGGGUGUCAGUUUCUCCAACUUUAGUUGAACCGAGUGUGGCUACGCCCGGUCCUUCAAAGGUUAAAACAACACCAACUUGACAAACUAUCGUUGUGGUUUUGAAGCAUAGGUAAGAACGGUUCUUGCUAAGCCCGUAGCAGCCACGUAAAACUUGCAACAACAAAGUAGAGGACGUCUAACUUGUUUUUGUAGGGCAUGUUGUGAUGUGAUAUGGUCAAACGUGAUGAGAUAUAAGUUGUUGUAUAAGAUGAUCAUGUUUUGUUGAAGUUAUCGGCAACUGGCAGAAGCCUUAUGGUUGUCUCUUUAUUGCAUAAGAUGCAAGCGCCAAAUAAUUGCUUUACUUUAUCGCUAUGCGAUAGCAAUAGUUGCAAGAGCAAUAGUUGGUGAGACGACCAUGUGACGACACAUUGAUAUAGAUCAAGAUGAUGGAGAUCAUGGUGUCAUGCCGGUGACAAUGGAAAUCAUGACGAUGCUUUGGAGAUGGAGAUCAAAGGCACAAGAUGAUGAUGGCCAUAUCAUGUCACAUAUUUUGAUUGCAUGUGAUGUUUAUCUUUUAUACAUCUUAUUUUGCUUAGUUCGAUGGUAGCUUUAUAAGAUGAUCUCUCACUAAUUAUCAAGGAACAAGUGUUCUCCCUGAGUAUGCACCGUUGCGAAAGUUCUUCGUGCUGAGACACCACGUGAUGAUCGGGUGUGAUAGGCUCUACGUUCAAAUACAACAGGUGCAAAACAGUUGCACACGCGGAAUACUCAGGUUAAACUUGACGAGCCUAGCAUAUAACAGAUAUGGCCUCGGAACACGGAGACCGAAAGGUCGAGCGUGAAUUAUAUAGUAGAUAUGAUCAACAUAGUGAUGUUCACCAUUGAAACUACUCCAUCUCACGUGAUGAUCGGACAUGGUUUAGUUGAUAUGGAUCACGUGAUCAGUUAGAGGAUUAAAGAGAUGUCUAUCUAAGUGGGAGUUCUUAAGUAAUAUGAUUAAUUGAACUUAAAUUUAUCAUGAACUUAGUCCUGGUAGUAUUAGCAUAUCUAUGUUGUAGAUCAAUAGCUCGCGUUUAGCUUCCCUGUUUUAUUUUUGAUAUGUUCCUAGAGAAAACUAAGUUGAAAGAUGUUAGUAGCAAUGAUGCGGAUUGGAUCUGUGAUCUGAGGUUUAUCCUCAUUGCUGCACAGAAGGAUUAUGUCCUUGAUGCACUGCUAGGUGACAAACCUAUUGCAGGAGCAGAUGCAGAUGUUAUGAACGUUUGGCUAGCUCAAUAUGAUGACUACUUGAUAGUUUAGUGCACCAUGCUUAAACGGCUUAGAAUCGGGACUUCAAAGACGUUUUGAACGUCAUGGACCAUAUGAGAUGUUCCAGGAGUUGAAGUUAAUAUUUCAAUUAAAUACCCGAUUUGAGAGAUAUGAAGUCUCCAACAAGCUCUAUAGCUAAAAGGUGGAGGAGAAUAGCUCAGGAGUGAGCAUGUGCUCAGAUUGUCUGGGUACUAUAAUCGCUUGAAUCAAGUGGGAGUUAAUCUUCCAGAUAAAAUAGUGAUUGAUAGAAUUCUCUAGUCACCAUCACCAAGUUAGUAGAACUUCGUGAUAACUAUAAUAUGCAAGGGAUAACAGAAACGAUUCCCAAGCUCUUCGUGAUGCUGAAAUCGACGAAGGUAGAAAUCAAGAAAAGCAUCAAGUGUUUAUGGUAAACAAAACCACUAGUUUCAAGUAAAGGGGCAAAGGAAAAAAAGGGGAACUUCAAGAAGAACGGAAACAAUUUGCUGCUCAAGUGAAAAAACCCAAGUCUGGACCUAAGCCUGAAACUGAGUGCUCCUACUGCAAAGGGACUGGUCAUUGGAAGCGGAACUACCCUAAGUAAUUGGCGGAUAAGAAGGAUGGCAAAGUGAACAUAGGUAUAUUUGAUAUACAUGUUAUUGAUGUGUACUUUACUAAUGUUUAUAGCAACCACUCAGUAUUUGAUACUAGUUCAGUUGCUAAGAAUAGUAACUUGAAACGGGAGUUGCAGAAUGAACAUAGACUAGUUAAGGGUGAAGUGACGAUGUGUAUUGGAAAUGGUUCCAAGAUUGAUAUGAUCAUCAUCGCACACUCCCUAUACUUUUGGGAUUAGUGUUAAACCUAAAAUAAAUGUUAUUUAGUGUUUGCGUUGAGCAUGAAUAUGAUUGGAUCAUGUUUAUUGCAAUACGUUUAUUCAUGUAAGUUAGAGAAUAAUUGUUGUUCUGUUUACAUGAAUAAAACCUUUUAUGGUCAUGCACCCGUGAAUAGUGGUCUAUUCUUAUUGAAUCUCGAUAGUAGUGACACACAUAUUCAUAAUGUUGAAGCCAAAAGAUGCAUAGUUGAUAAUGAUAGUGCAACUAAUUUGUGGCACUGCCGUUUAGGUCAUAGCGGUGUAAAGCGCAUGAAGAAACUCCAUACUGAUGGACUUUUGGAACCACUUGACUAUGAAUCACUUGGUACUUGCGAACCGUGCCUCAUGGGCAAGAUGACUAAAACGCUGUUCUCCGGAACUAUGGAGCGAGCAACAGAUUUGUUGGAAAUCAUACAUACAGAUGUUUGUGGUCCGAUAAAUAUUGAGGCUCGUGGCGGGUAUCGUUAUUUUCUCACCUUCACAGAUGAUUUAAGAAGAUAUGGGUAUAUCUACUUAAUGAAACAUAAGUCUGAAACAUUUGAAAAUUUCAAAGAAUUUCAGAGUGAAGUUGAAAAUCAUCAUAAAAAGAAAAUAAAGUAUCUACGAUCUGAUCGUGGAGGAGAAUAUUUGAGUUACGAGUUUGGUCUUCAUUUGAAACAAUGUGGAAUAGUUUCACAACUCACGCCACCCGGAACACCACAGCAUAAUGGUGUGUCUGAACAUUGUAAUCAUACUUUACUUGAUAUGGUGCGAUCUAUGAUGUUUCUUACCAAUUAACCACUAUAGUUUUGGGGUUAUGCAUUAGAGACAACUACAUUCACAUUAAAUAGGGCAUCAUCUAAAUCCGUUCAGACGACACCGUAUGAACUAUGGUUUGGCAAGAAACCUAAGCUGUCGUUUCUUAAAGUUUGAGGUUGUAAUGCUUAUGUGAAAAAGUUUCAACCUGAUAAGCUCAAACCCAAAUCGGAGAAGUGCAUCUUCAUAGGAUAUCCAAAAGAAAAUGUUGGGUACACCUUCUAUCAGAGAUCCGAAGGUAAUAUAUUCAUUGCUGAGAAUGGAUCCUUUCUAGAGGAGUUUCUCUCGAAAGAAGUGAGUGGGAGGAAAGUAGAACUUGAUGAGGAAACUGUACCUGCUCCCUUAUUGGAAAGUAGUUCAUCACAGAAAUCUGUUCCUGUGACUGCUACACCAAUUAGUGAGGAAGAUAAUGAUGAUGAUCAUGUAACUUCAGAUCAAGUUACUAACCGAGACCUUGUAGGUAAACCAGAGUGAGAUCCACACCAGAGUGGUACGGUAAUCCCGUUCUGGAGGUCAUGUUACUUGACCAUGACGAGUCUACGAACUAUGAGGAAGCGAUGAUGAGCCCAGAUUCCGCGAAAUGGCUUGAGGCCAUGAAAUCUGAGAUGAGAUCCAUGUAUGAGAACAAAGUAUGGACUUUGAUUGACUUGCCCAAUGAUCGGCGAGCCAUUGAGAUUAAAUGGAUAUUCAAGAGGAAGAUGGACGUUGAUAGUAGUGUUACUAUCUACAAAGCUAGAAUUGUCGCAAAAGGGUUUUCGACAAGUUCAAGGUGUUAACUGUGAUGAGAGUUUCUCACUCGUAUCUAUUCUUAAGUUUGUCCGAAUCAUGUUAGCAAUUGCCACAUUUUAUGAAAUCUGGCAAAUGGAUAAACAAAACUGCAUUCCUUAAUGGAUUUAUUAAAGAAGAGUUGUAUAUGAUGCAACCAGAAGGUUUUGUCAAUCCUAAAGGUACUAACAAAAUAUGCAAGCUCCAGCGAUCCAUCUAUGGACUGGUGCAAGUAUCUCGGAGUUGGAAUAUAUGCUUUGAUAAGUUGAUCAAAGCAUAUAGUUUUGUACAGACUUGCGGUGAAGCCUGUAUUUACAAGAAAGUGAGUGGGAGCACUACAACAUUUCUGAUAAGUAUAUGUGAAUGACAUAUUGUUGAUCGGAGAUAAUGUAGAAUUAUUCUGCAAAGCAUAAAGGAAUGUUCGAAAGGAGUUUUUCAAAGAAAGACCUCGAUGAAGCUGCUGACAUAUUGAGCACCAAGAUCUAUAGAGAUAGAUCAAGACGCUAGAUAAGUUUUUCAAUGAGUACAUACCUUGACAAGAUUUUGAAGUAGUUCAAAAUGGAACAGUCAAAGAAGGAGUUCUUGCCUGUGUUACAAGGUGUGAAGUUGAGUAAGACUCAAAACCCGACCACAACAGAAGAUAGAGAGAGAAUGAAAGUCAUUCCCUAUGCCUCAGCCAUAGGUUCUAUAAAGUAUGCCAUGCUGUGUACCAGACCUAUUGUAUACCCUGCCCUGAGUUUGGCAAGGGAGUACAAUAGUGAUCUAGGAGUAGAUCACUGGACAUUGGUCAAAAUUAUCCUUAGUGGAAUAAGGAUAUGUUUCUCGAUUAUGGAGGUGACAAAAGGUUUGUCAUAAAGGGUUACGUCGAUGCAAGUUUUGACACUGAUCCAGAUGACUCAAAGUCUCAAUCUGGAUACAUAUUGAAAGUGGGAGCAAUUAGCUAGAGUAGCUCCGUGUAGAGCAUUGUUGACAUAGAAAUUUGCAAAAUACAUACGGAUCUGAAUGUGGCAGACCCGUUGACUAAACUUCCCUCACAAGCAAAACAUGAUCACACCUUAGUACUCUUUGGGUAUUAAUCACAUAGCGAUGUGAACUAGAUUAUUGACUCUAGUAAACCCUUUGGGUGUUGGUCACAUGACGAUGUGAACUAUGGGUGUUAAUCACAUGGUAAUGUGAACUAUUGAUGUUAAAUCACAUGGCGAUGUGAACUAGAUUAUUGACUCUAGUGCAAGUGGGAGACUGGAGGAAAUAUGCCCUAGAGGCAAUAAUAAAGUUAUUAUUUAUUUCCUUAUAUCAUGAUAAAUGUUUAUUAUUCAUGCUAGAAUUGUAUUAACCGGAAACAUAAUACAUGUGUGAAUACAUAGACAAACGGUAUGUCACUAGUAUGCCUCUACUUGACUGGCUCGUUGAAUCAAAGAUGGUUAAGUUUCCUGGCCACAGUCAUGAGUUGUCAUUUGAUUAACGGGGUCACAUCAUUAGAGAAUGAUGUGAUUGACUUGACCCAUUCCAUUAGCAUAACACUUGAUCAUUUAGUUUGUUGCUAUUGCUUUCUUCAUGACUUAUACAUGUUCCUAUGACUAUGAGAUUAUGCAACCCCCGUUUACCGGAGGAACACUUUGUGUGCUACCAAACGUCACAACGCAACUGAGUGAUUAUAAAGGUGCUCUACAGGUGUCUCUGAAGGUACUUGUUGGGUUGGCGUAUUUCGAGAUUAGGAUUUGUCACUCCGAUUGUCGGAGAGGUAUCUCUGGGCCCACUCGGUAAUGCACAUCACUAUAAGCCUUGCAAGCAUUGCAACUAAUGAGUUAGUUGCGGGAUGAUGUGUUACGGAGCGAGUAAAGAGACUUGCCGGUAACAAGAUUGAACUAGGUAUUGAGAUACCGACGAUCGAAUCUCGGGCAAGUAACAUACCGAUGACAAAGGGAACACCGUAUGUUGUUAUGCGGUCUGACCGAUAAAGAUCUUCGUAGAAUAUGUAGGAGCCAAUAUGAGCAUCCAGGUUCCGCUAUUGGUUAUUGACCGGAGACGUGUCUCGGUCAUGUCUACAUAGUUCUCAAACCCAUAGGGUCCGCACGCUUAACGCUACGAUGACAGUUAUAUUAUGAGUUUUAUGUUUUGAUGUACCGAAGGUUGUUCGGAGUCCUGGAUGUGAUCACGGACAUGACGAGGAGUCUAGAAAUGGUCGAGACAUGAAGAUUGAUAUAUUGGAAGCCUAUGUUUGGAUAUCGGAAGUGUUCCGGGUGAAAUCGGAAUUUUAUCGGAGUACCGGGGGGUUACCGGAACCCCUCGGGGGCUUAAUGGGCCUACAUGGGCCUUAGUGGAAAAGGAGGGAAGCAAGGGAAGUGUGGGGCGCGCCCCCUAGGCCCAAACCGAAUUGGUUUAGGGCAAAGGGGGCCGGCCCCCCUCUUUCCUUCUUCCCCCUCCCAAGUCCUAAUCCAACUAGGAAAAGGGGGGAGUCCUACUCCCGGUGGGAGUAGGACUCCUCCGGCGCGCCUCUCCCCUUGGCCGGCCGCACCCCGUUGCUCCUUUAUAUACAGGGGCAGGGGGCACCUCUAGACACACAAGUUGAUCAAGUUGAUCGUCUCUUAGCCGUGUGCGGUGCCCCCUCCACCAUAGUCCACCUCGAUAAUACUGUAGGGGUGCUUAGGCGAAGCCCUGCGUCGGUAGAACAUCAACAUCGUCACCACGCCGUCGUGCUGACGAAACUCUCCCUCAACACUCGGCUGGAUCGGAGUUAGAGGGACGUCAUCGGGCUGAAGGUGUGCUGAACUCGGAGGUGCCGUGCGUUCGGUACUUGAUCGGUCGGAUCAUGAAGACGUACGACUACAUCAACCGCGUUGUGCUAACGCUUCCGCUUUUGGUCUACGAGGGUACGUGGACAACACUCUCCCCUCUCGUUGCUAUGCAUCACCAUGAUCUUGCGUGUGCGUAGGAAAAUUUUGGAAAUUACUAUGUUCCCCAACAUCAAUCCAGUAGGAGAUCACACUCGAGUCCCACACAUCUACACAAACAAAUAAGAACCUCACAACCAACGCGAUAAAGGGGUUGUCAAUCCCUUCACGGUCACUUACGAGAGUGAGAUCUGAUAGAUAUGAUAAGAUAAUAUUUUUGGUAUUUUUAUGAUAAAGAGAAAUAAAGAUGUAAAGUAAAAUAAACGUCAAUAGAAAUAGCUAAGUGUUGGAAGAUUAAUAUGAUGGAAGAUAGACCCGGGGGCCAUAGGUUUCACUAGUGGCUUUUCUCAAGAGCAUAAGUAUUACGGUGGGUAAACGAAUUACUAUCGAGCAAUUGAUAGAAUUGAGCAUAGUUAUGAUAAUAUCUAGGUACGAUCAUGUAUAUAGGCAUCACGUCCGUGACAAAUAAACCGAAACGAUUCUACAUCUACUACUAUUACUCCACACAUUGACCGCUAUCCAGCAUGCAUCUAGAGUAUUAAGUUCAUAAGAACAGAGUAAUGCUUUAAGUAAGAUGACAUGAUGUAGAGGGAUAAACUCAUGCAAUAUGAUAUAAUCCCAUCUUUUUAUCCUCGAUGGCAACAAUACAAUAUGUGCCUUGCUGCCCCUGCUGUCACUGGGAAAGGACACCGCAACACUACUAGGAAAACGGCUAUAGCUAAUAUGGACAUUAAUGGCGCACCACGAUGGUGGUGAGCCACACCUAGGUGUGGUGCGCCAUUGCUAUGUCUGGUGGGGGUGUGCCUGCGUGUGUGUGAGGUUAGUAAUGGCGCACCGGGGAGGGUGCGCCAUUACUAACGUCUCACACACACAAACACCCCCAUGUUGAUCGCCUUUUAGGUUUUUUAAAAAAUAAAAGAAAAUGAUAAAAAAUUCAAAAAAAUUCAAAAAAAAAGAUGCCCAUGUGUUAUGUGUUCUAGUUGUUAGGAAAAUUAACAAACAUGAAUUUUGAUUUUUUUUGCAAAAGGCCGUCGUGUUUCGGUAAAAUGGCCGUAACUUUUGCAUACGACCACCGAUGAAAAAGUUUUUAUAUGAAAAAUCAUCUACUCGAAAAGUUAUGUCCGAAUUUAACGAGCUAUGCCCGUAUUCGAUUUUCUAGAAUCCUCAAAAACCUAUCAGAAAAAAGUUAUGAGGCUUUUAAGAUCUGGAGAGGCAAUUAUUUUAAAAAAAAGUCAAACUUAGUAAUGUCACACCUGCCCAUGGUGCGCCAUUACUAUCUUUCCGUCUUCAAAAUUCAAACUAUAUCAAAAAAUAAAAAUAAGUUAGUAAUGGGCAGGCGCCAUUACUAUCUUCCCGCCUUAAAAAAACAGUUAGUAAUGGCGCACCAUGGUGGCGCACCUGCCCACGGUGCGCCAUUACUAUGCCGUAUAUAUGGCUGGGCGGGGUCCUUUCCUCCUUACCUCUUCAUUUUUCUCCUCCACUCCAUCUCCCCUUCUCUCCUCCACAAUACUCCCCUCCUCCUCUCCGGCGACCUCCUCCUCCUCCUCCUCCUCCUCUCCGGCGACCUCCUCCUCCCUCCUCUCCUCCUCUGCCCUCACGGUUUCUNNNNNNNNNNNNNNNNNNNNNNNNNNNNNNNNNNNNNNNNNNNNNNNNNNNNNNNNNNNNNNNNNNNNNNNNNNNNNNNNNNNNNNNNNNNNNNNNNNNNNNNNNNNNNNNNNNNNNNNNNNNNNNNNNNNNNNNNNNNNNNNNNNNNNNNNNNNNNNNNNNNNNNNNNNNNNNNNNNNNNNNNNNNNNNNNNNNNNNNNNNNNNNNNNNNNNNNNNNNNNNNNNNNNNNNNNNNNNNNNNNNNNNNNNNNNNNNNNNNNNNNNNNNNNNNNNNNNNNNNNNNNNNNNNNNNNCGGUUUCUCCUCCCUCCUCUCUGGUGAACUCCUCUCCGGCGACCUCCUCCUCCUCUCCUGUGAUGUAGGCGAGCUCCUCUCUGGUGACCUCCUCCUCCUCCUCUCCGACGAUGUAGGCGAGCUCCUCUCCGGUGACCUCCUCCUCCUCCCUCCUCUCCUUCUCACGGUCUCUCCUCGACCCUCCUCUUCGGUGAACUCCUCUCCGGCAAAAGAACCUACAAGAUCCAAAAACGAGAACAAAAUUUGAAAAAAUAUCGUGCAAAAAAAGAGCAAAAAAGGGCAAAAAUAUCGUGAUCCAGAUCCAUAUUCAAAAUUCAAAAAUAGCAAUGGGGCACGGUGGGGGUUAGACGGUGCACCACUACUAUUUUCCCGCCUUUAAAAUCAGAAAAAAUCAAAAAAAUUCAAAAAAAGUUACCAGUGACGCACCUGUAGGAAUAGUAAUGGCGCACCAGAGGUGCGCCAUUAGUAUUUUUUACUAGUGGCGUGGUAAUAGUGGCACACCUAUAGUGCACCAUUAAUAGCCAAAAUAGGUGCGCCACUAACAGCUUUUUUUCUAGUAGUGCAAGAUUGAACCCAAAGCUAAGCAUGUGAUAGCCUGACUUAUUAGGGAUGAUAGACUACUCAUAUCAAUAAGGAAUUCCUUCUUUUCCGGGAGCCCAUUCGGACAGAACUCCAAAGUUAAGCGUGCUCAGCUUGGAGUAGUUUCAGGAUGGGUGACCGACCAGGAAGUUGCUCCCGGGUGCGCACAAGUGAGGACAAAGUGCGCAGAAAAGACUAGUAUUGAUCUGUGGGGCCAGUCUAGAUCCCGCCAGGAGUAACGACCACCGGCGGGUGUGUCCGGGGCGUUACAAGUUGGUAUCAGAGCCGACCCUCGCGGUUACACGGAUGGUUGCGGAUAGGUGCGCGGUCAUGUUGUUCAUGACGUUUGUGACCCGUCGUGGCACACGACAUGGCACAUGUACCGGACUGGAUGCACAGACGGUUGUGCCAAGAGGGAACGUUCCUGUGGCCCGACGAGGACGUCGGUUCCUCUGAGUGUGGGUGUAUGUGAUAGCCUGGCUUAUUAGGGAUGAUAGACUACUCAUAUCAAUAAGGAAUUCCUUCUUUUCCGGGAGCCCAUUCGGACAGAACUCCAAAGUUAAGCGUGCUCAGCUUGGAGUAGUUUCAGGAUGGGUGACCGACCAGGAAGUUGCUCCCGGGUGCGCACGAGUGAGGACAAAGUGCGCAGAAAAGACUAGUAUUGAUCUGUGGGGCCAGUCUAGAUCCCGCCAGGAGUAACGACCACCGGCGGGUGUGUCCGGGGCGUUACAAAGCACUUCUCCCAUUGCAAGAAAGAUCAAUCUAGUAGGCCGAACCAAACUGAUAAUUCGAAGAGACUUGCAAAGAUAACCAAUCGUACAUAAAAGAAUUCAGAGGAGAUUCAAAUAUUAUUCAUAGAUAAACUUGAUCAUAAACCCACAAUUCAUCGGAUCUCAACAAACACACCGCAAAAGAAGAUUACAUUGAAUAGAUCUCCAAGAAGACCGAGGAGAACUUUGUAUUGAGAUUCAAAGAGAGAGAAGAAGCCAUCUACCUAAUAACUAUGGAUCCAAAGGUCUGAAGUAAACUACUCACACAUCACCGGAGAGGCCAUGGAGUUGAUGUAGAGGCCCUCGGUGAUCAAUGCCCCCUCCGGUGGAGCUCCAGAAAAGGCCCCAAGAUGGGAUCUCUCGGGUACAGAAGGUUGCGACGGUGGGAUUAGGUUUUCGUGGUGCUCUUGGAUGUUUGCGGCGUACAUGGACUUAUAUAGGAGGAAGAAGUAGGUCGGUGGAGCAACGAGGGGCCCACGAGGGUGGAGGGCGCGCCCAGGGGGGUAGGCGCGCCCCCUGCCUCGUGGCCUCCUCGAUUGUUUCUUGACGCCCACUCCAAGUCUCCUGGAUCACGUUUGUUGAGAAAAUCACAUUCCCGAAGGUUUCAUUCCGUUUGGACUUCGCUUGAUAUUCCUUUUCUGUGAAACACUAAAAUAGGCAAAAAAAGCAAUUUGGGCUGGGCCCCCGGUUAAUAGGUUGUCACACCCUCGAUGCGACUAUAGCUCCCAUGUGUCGAGGCACGACUUAGAGACAUAAUCGCAUUGAAGGCAUAUGUCGCAAGUUAGGCAAUCUUCACAACAUCCCAUGUAAUAAUAUAAUAAAAGGGGAGAUAACAUAGUUGGCUUACACUCGCCACGUCAAUCAAGUACAUAAAUAACAUUACAUCAUCCAAACACUCAUGGCCCGACUACGGCGCCAAAAUAAAAGAUAACCCAACAAGCGACACGGUCCAGAUCAACCCCAACUGGGCACCACUACUGAUCAUCAGGAAAGGAAACGUAGUAACGUUGAGAGUCUUCGUCGAACUCCCACUUGAGCUCAAGCGCGUCUCCUGGAGCGUAAUCAUCAGGCCCUACAUCUGGUGUAAUAGUAAUCUGUGAGCCACAGGGACUCAGCAAUCUCGCACCCUCGCGAUCAAGACUAUUUAAGCUUAUAGGUAUGGCAAGGUAAAUAUAUGGAGCUGCAGCAAGCGACUAGCGAAUAUGGUGGCUAACUUAUUCGCAAAGGGAGCGGGAAGAGGAGGCAAAGUGCGAGCGAGAAACUAGAGAGCAACCUGCGCAAACAUUACUCCAACACCAUGUCCACUUCCCGGACUCCGCCGAGAAGAGGCCAUCACGGUAACACACUCAGUUGAUUCAUUUUAAUUAAGUUAAGGUUAAAGUUAUCUACAACCGGACAUUAGCAAAUUCCCAUCUGCCCAUAACCGCGGGCACGGCUUUAGAAAGUUCAAAACCCUACAGGGGAGUCCCAACUUAGCCCAUGACAAGCUCUCACGGUCAACGAGGGAAUAGACCUCCUCCCAAGACGUUCCGAUCAGACUCGGUAUCUCGGUUCUUCAAGACACUUCGACAGGUUAAAACAAGACCAGCAACACCGCCCGAACAUGCCGACAAAUCCCGAUAGGAGCUGAACAUAUCUCUUUCUCAGGGCACACUCAGAUUGUCUAAACUUCCGGUAGGCCAGCCCAGAGUUGCCCCUGGUAGCCACCGGCGGCUGACAAUUUGGACCAACACUCAGAGGAGCACUGGCCCGGGGGGGAGGGGGUUAAAUAAGAUGACCCUCGGGCUCCGGAAACCCAAGGGAAAAGAGGCUAGGUGGCAAAUGGUAAAACCAAGGUUGGGCAUUGCUGGAAAAGCUUUAAUCAAGGCGAACUAUCAAGGGGUUCCCAUUAUAACCCAACCGCGUAAGGAACGCAAAAUCCGGGAACAUAACACCGAUAUGACGGAAACUAAGGCGACAAGAGUGGAACAAAACACUAGGCGAGAGGCCGAGCCUUCCACCCUUUACCAAGUAUAUAGAUGCAUUAAUAUAACAUGGCAAUAUAAUGAUAUCCCAACAAGUAAAUAAAUGUUCCAACAAGGAACGACCUCCAAUCUUCACCUGCAACUAGCAACGCUAUAAGAGGGGCUGAGCAAAGCGGUAACAUAGCUAAUCAACGGUUUUCUAGGACAUGGAGGGUUAGAGGUUUGACAUGGCAAUUUGGGAGGCUUGAAAUCAAGUGGUAGGCAUCAUAGCAUUGGCAUAGCAAAAGAGCGAGCAAACUAGCAAAGCAAAGAUAGUAGUGAUUUCGAGGGUAUGAUCAUCUUGCCUGCAAAGUUGUCAGAGUUGACUGGAUCCUCGAAAGCAAACUCAACGGGCUCCUCGUUAGCGAACUCGUCUCCCGGAUCUACCCAAACAAGACAAACAAGCAACAAGGACACAAUCAACCACGUGCAAGGAUCAGACAAGAUGAUGCAAAGAUGAUAUGCUAUGCGGGAUGCGAUGCGGGAUGCAUAUGCAAGAUUUAACAAGGGAUGCAUGAAUCUGGCCUCAACUUGGGAAUCCAAGUGUGCCACUGGAAAGAUGAGAUGAAAUCUCUUGAAAACGAUAUAAAAAACGCCGGAAUCGGAGUUACGGUUUGGAAAUGGCAAGCGAUUCAAAUAUGGCACCGGUCUGCGAUUUACAGCAAGUAGCCAUCUAAAUGCAAUGAGAUGAACAUGCUACAACACUCAAACAUGACAACAAAAUACAUGGCAGGGAUGCAUUCAAGAUGCUUAACAAAAGUCUAGCACUGAGCUACAGCCAAUUCAUCCAUUAACAGGUUCAAACAAGCAUGACAAAAAUGCAUAUGGCAAACAGAUUUCAGACAGUGAAAUCAACACUUGUCUGGAAUUUCAGAUCAGGUAGCACUCUUCGGAGCAACAAAACUACAUGCUACAGGACCUGAACAUGGCAAAGUAAAGCAUGGCAUGGAGCUACUCAAAGAGCUUAACAAAAGUCCCUUAGUGACCUUGAGCCAAAAGGGAUCAGAAAAUACAAUUGCAAGCAUGUGAACAUAGCAAAAACAUAAUCAGAUCACAGACUUAGUGAAAACUGGAGCAUGCUGAAAACAGAUAUCAAGAAGGCAUGUUUACGAGCUCGAUGCACUCAAUACAGAGCAAGACAUGAUAAUCUAAGCAUACAUCUAUCAAGAACACACAAAAUGCAAGCUAUACAUGGUAAGAAUAAUAGCAUAGCAUGCACGGAUCAACUACAACAUCAUCGGCAAAAUUGCAAACAAGUUGACAAUCUGCCCAGAUUCACAAAGUAGCAAAAGUAGAGCUCGAUUGACUCAAGCUAGGGUGCUCCAUAAUUGCAAACAAAGACAUAGAUGGAUAGAGCACUACAAGAUUAACAAAACAUACUUACUGAUCAUCCUCAAAAGAGGCACGGAUCACUAGGAAACAGCAUGAACAUAUGGCAUCAUGAGAUAAACCGCUCAAGGACUUAGUGGAAAUGCUAAGUCCCUGAAAUCAGAAUUACCAAGUGCCUCACUUUGCAAGCUUAUGCUAGUCACCACACACAUCACAAAAAUACAUGGGUUGCACCUCUGGAAAGAUGACAAAACCCUUAACAAAACAUAUGUAGAACUCAUGGGCAUAUCAUGCACACAAUAAUCAUGGCAAAAAUGACAAAAAGCUAAAUGGAGCAGCAGAUCUGACAAUUAUCUCAAGUAGCCCUCUUCUAACAGCAUUUCAGGCAUCAAGAUGAACUCAAAUGAAAAUGAUGCAAUGUAAUGAAAUGAUGUACUCUCUGAGAUGAACAUUUUGAUAUGCUAUAUGCAUGAAUCGGAGCUACGGAUGCAAAGUUAUAGCAUGAUAAAGAUGGGCACAUGAGCUAGGGACUUAGGAAAAAAACGGGGUCAACCCUAAUAUUCCAGAUCUGGAUCGGGGGCACGCAAUCCGAGGUUCGACGGGGCUCUCGCCGGAGCUCACUGUAGACGGCUGGAGCAGGGGCUUGGCGGUGGUGGCGCAAGCCGGCGACGAGGAGGAGGCGGUGGGCGGCCGGAGCGGCGAGGUCGGCGCCGGGCGCGGACGGGGCGGCGCCGGCUCGGGCGGCGUGGAGCUUCGGGGCGGCGAAGUGGUCCGGGGGCGCCACGUGGCAGCUCCCGGUUGGCAGCGGUGGAAGCAUCCGGCCCGGACGGACGUGUCCGGCCGGCGCGGUGACGAUUUUUAGGGUUUCGGACGAGGGGGAUCCGGAUUUUCGGGGAGAGGCCUUUAUAUAGGCAUAGAGGGAGCUAGGAGAGUCCAAAUGAGGUGCGGUUUUCGGCCACACGAUCGUGAUCGAACGCUCUAGAUUAUGGAGAAGGUUCAGGUGGGUUUUGGGCCAAAUUGGAGGGGUGUUGGGCUGCAACACACACGAGGCCUUUUCGGUCCCUCGGUUAACCGUUGGAGUAUCAAACGAAGUCCAAAUGAUACGAAACUUGACAGGCGGUCUACCGGUAGUAAACCAAGGCCGCUUGGCAAGUCUUGGUCCAAUCCAGAAAUGUUUAAUCCUCACACACGAAAGAAAGGUAGAAAUGACCACCGGAGGAGAACGAAGCGCCGGAAUGCAAAACGGACAACGGGGAAAAUGCUCGAAUGCAUGAGAUGAACACGUAUGCAAAUGCAAUGCACAUGAUGACAUGAUAUGAGAUGCAUGACAACGAGAACAACACACGGAGACAAAACCCGGACCCGAGAAAAUAAAAUAACUUAAUGCCGGAAACGGCAAGAGUUGGAGUACAAAUUGGGAAAGUUACAUCCGGGGUGUUACAACACUCCACCACUACGAAAGGAUCUCGUCCCGAGAUCUAGGACUGAAAGAAUGUCGGGUAUUCAGAACGGAGGUGAUCCUCGCGUUCCCAGGUAGCUUCACGGUCGGAAUGAUGUGACCACUUGACUUUGAGAAAUUUGAUUGACUUGUUGCGAGUCUUGCGUUCAGUCUCUUCAAGAAUAGCAACUGGGUGCUCACGAUAAGAGAGAUCUUCUUGGAGCUCAAUGUCCUCGUAGUUGAUGGUGCGGUCAGGAGUCUUGAAGCACUUUCGGAGCUGAGAGACAUGGAACACAUCAUAAACAUCAGCAAAGUUUGCAGGAAGCUCGAGUUGAUAGGCGAGGUCGCCUCUCUUGCUGACAAUCUUGAAAGGUCCCACAUAUCUAGGGGCAAGCUUCCCUUUGAUACCGAAGCGACGAGUACCUUUCAUAGGAGAGACGCGGAGGUAAACACGAUCUCCGAUCUCGAAAACCAAAUCACGGUGCUUACUAUCAUAGUAGCUCUUCUGGCGGGAUUGGGCUGCUUUGAGGUUAUCUCGAAUGACUUUGCACAUUUCCUCUGCCUCUAUGAUUAAGUCAUUACCCAAAAGCUGACGUUCACCGGUUUCAGACCAGUUGAGAGGGGUACGACACUUCCUGCCAUACAGAAUUUCAAUGGGGCCUUGCCCGAACUUGCUUGAAAACUGUUGUUGUAGGAGAAUUCAGCAUAAGGAAGACAAUUCUCCCACUUCAUGCCGAAGGAGAUCAUACAAGCCCUGAGCAUAUCUUCAAGAAUCUGGUUGACACGCUCGACUUGACCGCUAGUUUGAGGAUGGAAAGCUGUGCUGAAGCGGAUGUUGGUGCCCAUGGCCUUCUGAAAAGAAUCCCAAAUCUUGGAUGUAAAGAUGCUGCCACAGUCUGAAGAGAUCACUUGUGGAAUACCAUGCAGAGAGACAAUCCGAGAGGCAUAGAGUUCCACCAAUUGAGCUGCAGUGAUUGACUCUUUGAUAGGCAGAAAGUGAGCCACUUUGGUGAGUUUGUCGAUGACAACGAAUAUAGCAUCAUUGCCACGCUUGGACUUUGGAAACCCAGUCACGAAGUCCAUUUCAAUGUGGUCAAACUUCCAUUCUGGAAUGGCAAGAGGUUGGAGGAGACCAGAUGGCCUUUGGUGUUCUGCCUUCACUCUUCUGCAGACAUCAGAUUCAUUCAUGAAUUGAGCAAUCUCGCGCUUCAUUCGAGUCCACCAAUAAGCCUGCUUAAGGUCCUGAUACAUCUUCGUGCUCCCAGGGUGGAUGGAGAGGAGAGAAUCGUGAGCCUCGUUCAUGAUCACUUUACGGAGGUCACCUUUGGGUACAACAAUACGAUCCUCGAAGAAGAGAGUAUCUUUGUCAUGAAGGCGGUAGCAUUUGUACUUGGGUUGACUCUUGGCAAUCCCAAUCUUCACCUUUUUCACCAUAGCAUCAAGAAGCUGGGCUUGGCGAAUCUGGUCUUCCAAGGUAGGAGAGACUUGAAGGUUGGCAAGGAAACCUUGAGGAACAAUUUGCAGAUUAAGUUUGCGGAAAGCUUCACAAAGCCCGGGUUGAUAAGGCUUUAGAAUCAGACUGUUGCAAUAAGCUUUCCUGCUCAAUGCGUCAGCAAUCACAUUGGCCUUGCCUGGAGUAUACUCGAUACUCGGAUUAUACUCUUGAAUCAUUUUGACCCAUCGAGUUUGCCUGAGGUUGAGAUUAGGCUGAGUGAAGAUGUACUUGACUCUUGUGAUCAGUGAAAAUGUCCACUUUUCUUCCCAAUAAGAGCUGUCUCCAAGUCAAAAGAGCAUGCACAACUGCCGCCAACUCGAGAUCAUGAGUGGGGUAGUUCUUCUCAUUAGGCUUCAAUUGGCGAGAGGUAUAAGCAACAACUUUCUUCUCUUGUAUCAAAACUGCGCCAAGACCUUGGAGAGAGGCAUCACAAAAGACCUCGUACGGCUUGGAUUCAUCAGGCGGAGUCAGAAUUGGAGCAGUGAUCAAUUUCUCUUUCAAAGUGUUGAAAGCAAUGUCACACUCCGGAGACCAAACGUACUUGACGUGCUUCUGGAGAAGAUUUGAGAGAGGCUUCGCGAUCUUAGAAAAGUUUUCAACGAAUCUUCGACAAUAGCUUGCGAGACCGAGGAAGCUACGGAGUUGCUUCACGUUCUGAGGAGGUUCCCAAUUCACAAUUGCAGACACCUUCUUAGGAUUCACGGCAAUGCCCUUGGCAGAGAUGAUAUGACCAAGGUAAAGAACCUCAUCGAGCCAAAAUUCGCACUUGGAGAACUUGGCGUAGAAAUGAUGUUCCCCGAGCUUAUCAAGAACCAAAUGCAAGUGCUUGGCAUGAUCUUCCUUGUUCUUCGAGAAAACCAGAAUGUCGCCGAGAUAUACCAAAACGAAGUCAUUGGUGUAGGCGUUGAAGAUGAAGUUCAUCAUACAAGAGAACGUCGGAGGAGCGUUGACGAGGCCAAAAGACAUGACAGUGUAUUCAUAUGAACCAUAGCUUGUCCUGAAAGCCAUCUUGGGAAUAUCUUGCUCACGGAUUCGAAUCUAAUGAUAACCCAUACGAAGAUCAAGCUUGGAGAAUACUUGGGCACCUUUGAGUUGUUCGAACAGCUCAUUGAUGUUGGGAAGUGGGUAUUUGUUCUUGAUGGUAUUCUUGUUCAAUGGACGGUAAUCAACACAAAGUCGGUCCGUUCCAUCCUUCUUCUUCACAAAAAGAACACCACAACCCCACGGAGAAGAACUAGGCCGGAUGAGACCCAUUUUCUCUUGAAUGUCGAGUUGCUUCUUCAGCUCCUUCAACUCUUCAGGUCCGAGCUUGUAAGGACGCUUGCACACAGGUUCCGUGCCAGGCUCAAGAUCAAUAACGAAUUCAACUGGCCGGUGCGGAGGCAUUCCUGGAAACUCUUCUGGAAAGACGUCUUGAUAUUCGCAAACGACUGGAAUUUGAGAGAUAGCAUCCAGUUCACCCUUCUCAUUGAGAGAAAACAGACGGAUAGUAUUAUCCCGAGCGGCAAAGACAAUUACAUCCUCAGACGAAUGAGUCAAUUGAAUCUGCCUGGCUGCACAAUCAAGCUGAGCCUUGUGCUUAGAAAGCCAAUCCAUUCCAAGAAUAAGAUCAAUAUCCGAGUUACCAAGGAUCAUUGGAGAAGCCAGAAACUUGAAAUCACCCAUCGAGAUAGAAAUAUCCAGAACUUCGUAGUUAGCAAGCAAGCAUCUACCCGGAGAGACAACUGCUAAUGGCUUAUGCAUAACUUGAGAAAACCACCCAUGCUUAGAUGCAAAAGGUCUCGAGAUAAAACAAUGUGAUGCACCAGUGUCAAAAAGAAUUUUUGCAGGAACAUCGUUAACAGGAAGGUUACCCAUGAUGACAUCUGAAGAAUCCUCUGUCUGAGCUGCAUUCACCAUAUUGACCUUGGCAUACUUGGGGUUAUGCUUGACCACAGCUGUACUUGCCGAUCUGACAGGAGGAGGAGGAAGACGCCUCUGGUUGAAACACUUGUUGGCAUAGUGACCCUUCUGUUGGCACUUGUUGCACCUGACCUCUGAAAGCGGACGGUGAUACGGAGCACUCGAUCUUGGAGCUUGAGACGAAGUCUUGUUCUGAAAGCCAGGGUUGGGUGGGUGGGAAGAUCCACUGCCACCUUUGCUCUUCUGCUGAUAUGGCUGACAGAACGGAGGAGGAGGAAGCCAAUACUUCUGCUGCUUGGCCACUUGAGUAGAGGAAGAAGGAGUAACAUCUCUGACUCGCUUCUUGGAAGCAUCACACCUCAACUGAGCAGCCUCUUGCUUCAGUGCCAUGUUGUAGAACUCAUCGUAUCUCAAGGGCUCGAAGAGAACAAGAGCGAGCUGGAUUUCUUCUCUGAGACCACCCCUGAACUGGUAUAUCAUGCUCUUCUCAUCAGGGACGUCCUCCUUAGCAAAGCGGGCGAGCUUCUGGAACAACUUGUUGUAGUCAUAGACAGACAAAGAGCCUUGCUUCAGGUUGCGGAAUUCCUCAUGCUUGCUUUCAACCACGCUUUGAGGAAUAUGAUGAGCUCUGAAAUCUUGACGGAAUUCAUCCCAAGUAAUAACACGUCCACCUCUGGAAUCCUUGUAUUGAUGGAACCAUUCUGCAGCUUGAUCUUUGAGUUGGAAGGAAGCGAACUUGACGAAGUCCUCAGGCCUGACGUUACUGCACUCGAAAUGCUUGCACAGAUCCACAAGCCAAUCGUCAGCAUCGGUUGCCUCAACACAAUUGCUGAAAGUCUUUGGCCCAUUAGCAAGGAACUGGUUGAGUGAAGCAAAGUGAUUCUGAUUGUUGCCUUGGUUCCCUUGGUUGCCUUGAUUGUGCUCUUGGAGAAUUUGCAUGAUCAACUGUGUGUUUGCAUUGCUUGCGGCCAUCAUAGCUUGCCAUGCCUCCGGAGGAGGUGGAGGUGGUGGCGGAUCAGGAUUCGGAGUCGUGCGCGUUGGAGGAGCCAUCCUGAAGAGGUUGACAUCCAUUAGCACAUUGAUAGACAAAUAUUGAAGCUGAAUCCAACGGAAUGAAAAUUGCAACAUAUCGUCUUCACAUCCGAACAAAAUGAACGAAUGCAUUCCUCUUGAAAUGGUCACAUAUCCAUAAAUUGAGAAGCCACGUAGAAUUUAGGUAGAGAAAUAAAUCAACAAGGUACGGAUCAAGAACGAAUAAUCGGUAAGAAAUCCCAAUCUCAAACCAAUAUCCGUGGAAGAAGAACUAGAGCUACUAGAAUUCCCACCUAUGAAACUCCCGAACCUUUCCGGUUAUGCAAUCAGGUGUUGGGGAUACAGGGGAAGCAUAAUAUCUCACCCAAACUAGCAAAUCCUACAUCCAGCUGUAUCCAUCCUUUAACACAUAACCGAGAAAAACUUCGGAAACCAUCUACCUCAACCUUCGAAAAGCAUCUGUUAUACAAGUUAUGGCGAUACUCCCGAACUCCCGUCCCAGUACUGGGUGGCGUCGAGGUUAUCUCACCAAUGAACUGCAUAAAAGAGAUUUUCGAUGUCGGCGUACUAAACUCAGGUAUUCCAGAACUGCAAUGAUAAAAUUAUGACGACAACACCUCAGAGCUCAACUCCCCGGGACACUUCCACAAAACCCCUGACAGGAGGCACCAAGACAAUGUUCUCAUCAUAACACCAUCGAAACGAUUCCAAGAUACCCGUGUGAUCCUAAUUUUUUUUUAGUGAAAUUUGAGAAGAGAAGAGUUAAAAGUCUACGUCAGGAUGCCUUACCAGAGCGAUGAGGAGACUGGGAAGUAAAAAGAAUUCCUAAACUCUCCGAUAUAUAAUUCCUAAAUGACUCAAAACAUUUUUCUAGACACAACUCGGACGCUAAAAACGAUCAAGCAAUGGGGCUCCUAAGGUCAGGGAAGGCUCUGAUUACCAACUUGUCACACCCUCGAUGCGACUAUAGCUCCCACGUGUCGAGGCACGACUUAGAGACAUAAUCGCAUUGAAGGCAUAUGCCACAAGUUAGGCAAUCUUCACAACAUCCCAUGUAAUAAUAUAAUAAAAGGGGAGAUAACAUAGUUGGCUUACACUCGCCACGCCAAUCAAGUACAUAAAUAACAUUACAUCAUCCAAACACUCAUGGCCCGACUACGGCGCCAAAAUAAAAGAUAACCCAACAAGCGACACGGUCCCGAUCAACCCCAAGUGGGCACCACUACUGAUCAUCAGGAAAGGAAUUGUAGUAACGUUGAGAGUCUUCGUCGAACUCCCACUUGAGCUCAAGCGCGUCUCCUGGAGCGUAAUCAUCAGGCCCUGCAUCUGGUGUAAUAGUAAUCUGUGAGCCACAGGGACUCAGCAAUCUCGCACCCUCGCGAUCAAGACUAUUUAAGCUUAUAGGUAUGGCAAGGUAAAUAUAUGGAGCUGCAGCAAGCGACUAGCGAAUAUGGUGGCUAACUUAUUCGCAAAGAGAGCGGGAAGAGGAGGCAAAGCGCGAGUGAGAAACUAGAGAGCAACCUGCGCAAACAUUACUCCAACACCGUGUCCACUUCCCGGACUCCGCCGAGAAGAGGCCAUCACGGUAACACACUCAGUUGAUUCAUUUUAAUUAAGUUAAGGUUAAAGUUAUCUACAACCGGACAUUAACAAAUUCCCAUCUGCCCAUAACCACGGGCAUGGCUUUCGAAAGUUCAAAACCCUGCAGGGGAGUCCCAACUUAGCCCAUGACAAGCUCUCACGAUCAACGAAGGAAUAGACCUCCUCCCAAGAUGUUCCGAUCAGACUCGGUAUCUCGGUUCUUCAAGACACUUCGACAGGUUAAAACAAGACCAGCAACACCGCCCGAACGUGCCGACAAAUCCUGAUAGGAGCUGCACAUAUCUCUUUCUCAGGGCACACUCAGAUUGUCUAAACUUCCGGUAGGCCAGCCCAGAGUUGCCCCUGGUAGGCACCGGCGGCUGACAGUUUGGACCAACACUCAGAGGAGCACUGGCCCGGGGGGGUUAAAUAAGAUGACCCUUGGGCUCCAGAAACCCAAGGGAAAAGAGGCUAGGUGGCAAAUGGUAAAACCAAGGUUGGGCAUUGCUAGAAAAGCUUUAAUCAAGGCGAGCUAUCAAGGGGUUCCCAUUAUAACCCAACCGCGUAAGGAACGCAAAAUCCGGGAACAUAACACCGAUAUGACGGAAACUAAGGCGGCAAGAGUGGAACAAAACACUAGGCGAGAGACCGAGCCUUCCACCCUUUACCAAGUAUAUAGAUGCAUUAAGAUAACAUGGCAAUAUAAUGAUAUCCCACCAAGUAAAUAAAUGUUCCAACAAGGAACGACCUCCAAUCUUCACCUGCAACUAGCAACGCUAUAAGAGGGGUUGAGCAAAGCGGUAACAUAGCUAAUCAACGGUUUGCUAGGACAUGGAGGGUUAGAGGUUUGACAUGGCAAUUUGGGAGGCUUGAAAGCAAGUGGUAGGCAUCGUAGCAUUGGCAUAGCAAAAGAGCGAGCAAACUAGCAAAGCAAAGAUAGUAGUGAUUUCGAGGGUAUGAUCAUCUUGCCUGCAAAGUUGUCAGAGUUGACUGGAUCCUCAAAAGAAAACUCAACGGGCUCCUUGUUAGCGAACUCGUCUCCCGGCUCUACCCAAACAAGACAAACAAGCAACAAGGACACAAUCAACCACGUGCAAGGAUCAAACAAGAUGAUGCAAAGAUGAUAUGCUAUGCGGGAUGCGAUGAAGGAUGCAUAUGCAAGAUUUAACAAGGGAUGCAUGAAUCUGGCCUCAACUUGGGAAUCCAAGUGUGCCACUGGAAAGAUGAGAUGAAAUCGCUUGAAAACGAUAUAAAGAACGCCAGAAUCGGAGUUACGGUUUGGAAAUGGCAAGCGAUUCAAAUAUGGCACCGGUCUGCGAUUCACAGCAAGUAGCCAUCUAAAUGCAAUGAGAUGAACAUGCUACAACACUCAAACAUGACAACAAAAUACAUGGCAGGGAUGCAUUCAAGAUGCUUAACAAAAGUCUAGCACUGAGCUACAGCCAAUUCAUCCAUUAACAGGUUCAAACAAGCAUGGCAAAAAUGCAUAUGGCAAACAGAUUUCAGACUUAGUGAAAUCAACACUUGUCUGGAAUUUCAGAUCAGGUAGCACUCUUCCGAGCAACAAAACUACAUGCAACAGGACCUGAAUAUGGCAAAGUAAAUCAUGGAAUGGAGCUACUCAAAGAGCUUAACAAAAGUCCCUUAGUGACCUUGAGCCAAAAGGGAUCAGAAAAUACAAUUGCAAGCAUGUGAACAUAGCAAAAACAUAAUCAGAUCACAGACUUAGUGAAAACUGGAGCAUGCUGAAAACAGAUAUCAAGAAGGCAUGUUUACGAGCUCGAUGCACUCAAUACAGAGCAAGACAUGAUAAUCUAAGCAUACAUCUAUCAAGAACACACAAAAUGCAAGCUAUACAUGGCAAGAAUAAUAGCAUAGCAUGCACGGAUCAACUACAACAUCAUCGGCAAAAUUGCAAACAAGUUGACAAUCUGCCCAGAUUCACAAAGUAGCAAAAGUAGAGCUCGAUUGACUCAAGCUAGGGUGCUCCAUAAUUGCAAACAAAGACAUAGAUGGAUAGAGCACUACAAGAUUAACAAAACAUCCUUACUGAUCAUCCUCAAAAGAGGCACGGAUCACUAGGAAACAACAUGAACAUAUGGCAUCAUGAGAUAAACCGCUCAAGGACUUAGUGGAAAUGCUGUCCCUGAAAUCAGAAUUACCAAGUGCCUCACUUUGCAAGCUUGUGCUAGUCACCACACACAUCACAAAAAUACAUGGGUUGCACCUCUGGAAAGAUGACAAAACCCUUAACAAAACAUAUGUAGAACUCAUGGGUAUAUCAUGCACACAAUAAUCAUGGCAAAAAUGACAAAAAGCUAAAUGGAGCAACAGAUCUGACAAUUAUCUCAAGUAGCCCUCUUCUAACAGUAUUUCGGGCAUCAAGAUGAACUCAAAUGAAAAUGGUGCAAUGGAAUGAAAUGAUGUACUCUCUGAGAUGAACAUUUUGAUAUGCUAUAUGCAUGAAUCGGAGCUACGGAUGCAAAGUUAUAGCAUGAUAAAGAUGGGCACAUGAGCUAGGGACUUAGGAAAAAAAACGGGGUCAACCCUAAUAUUCCAGAUCUGGAUCGGGGGCACGCAAUCCGAGGUUCGACGGGGCUCUCGCCGGAGCUCACUGUAGAUGGCUGGAGCGGGGGCUUGGCGGUGGUGGCGCACGCCGGCGACGAGGAGGAGGCGGUGGGCGGCUGGAGCGGCGAGGUCGGUGCCGGGCGCGGACGGGGCGGCGCCGGCUCGGGCGGCGUGGAGCUUCGGGGCGGCGAAGUGGUCCGGGGGCGCCACAUGGCAGCUCCCGGUUGGCGGCGGCGGAAGCGUCCGGCCCGGACGGACGUGUCCGGCCGGCGCGGUGACGAUGUUUAGGGUUUCGGACGAGGGGGAUCCGGAUUUUCGGGGAGAGGCCUUUAUAUAGGCAUAGAGGGAGCUAGGAGAGUCCAAAUGAGGUGCGGUUUUCGGCCACGCGAUCGUGAUCGAACGUUCUAGAUGAUGGAGAAGGUUCAGGUGUGUUUUGGGCCAAAUUGGAGGGGUGUUGGGAUGCAACACACACGAGGCCUUUUCGGUCCCUCGGUUAACCGUUGGAGUAUCAAACGAAGUCCAAAUGAUACGAAACUUGACAGGCGGUCUACCGGUAGUAAACCAAGGCCGCUUGGCAAGUCUCGGUCCAAUCCGGAAAUGUUUAAUCCUCACACAUGAAAGAAAGGUAGAAAUGACCACCGGAGGAGAACGAAGCGCCAGAAUGCAAAACGGACAACGGGGAAAAUGCUCGAAUGCAUGAGAUGAACACGUAUGCAAAUGCAAUGCACAUGAUGACAUGAUAUGAGAUGCAUGACAACGAGAACAACACACGGAGACAAAACCCGGACCCGAGAAAAUAAAAUAACUUAACACCGGAAACGACAAGAGUUGGAGUACAAAUUGGGAAAGUUACAUCCGGUGUGUUACAUAGGUUAGUCCCUAAAAUAAUAUAAAAGUGUAAAAUAAAGCUCAUUAACAUCCAAAACAGAUAAUAUAAUAGCAUGGAACUGUAAGUGCAUCUAGUGCCACCCCUAGUUGGUUUUGGAGUAUUGACGACAAACCUAGUUGAGGGACUAAUGUGUUUGUGAGAAUUGCAGGAUAACACAGGUAGAAGUCCCUCAUGAUUCGGUUUUACUACCAGAGAUGACCCCUAAAAAUGUAUGAAGACAUUGAAGUGAAAGGUGGUAUAUGAAGAUAUUCACAUUGAAGACUAUGACAAGAGAAGACACGAUAUGAAGCCUAUGGAGCUCGAAGACUUAGAUCUUUCGUAGUUCUUUUUCUUUUGUGUUGAGUCAUAGGAACCACCGUACUGUUAAGUGGGGUCCAAGAGAACCAGUCAGAAUGACUGAAGUGAUGCCUAACCAAAAACCUAUGUCUUCGAGUGAAGACUAUGAGAGCGAAUCUUGUCCAGAGUCGGACAAGUCAGCUUUGCUUGUAGCCCAAGUAAAGUUGCCGUGUGAGUUUGAAAUCUGACCGUUGGGACAUGUGUCAGUUCCUUAGUGACCCAGGGUCAUUUCGGACAAAUCAGGUCGGGUUGCCAAGUGGCUAUAAAUAGCCCACCCCCUACAACCAUAAAUGGUUGGCUGCUUAGAUUGAAAGUACAACUUUUGUCGUUUGAGAGCAACCCACCUCGAAGCCUUUGAGAGAGAAUUCCCUGUGAGGAUAAAGCCCUAACCACCAGAACCAGAGAGAAUUGGGCAUCACUUAAGUCUUCUUGUCUGUGCGAUCUGAAGACUUAUUACACUUGAGGACUGUGCAUCCUCCAGCCAGUUAGGCGUCGCGUUCUGAGCAUCCAAGAGACAUUGUGGAUUGCCGGUGAACGAAGUCUGUGAAGGUUUGGGAGUCUACCUUGAAGACUUACGAGAGUGAUUGGGCGAGGUCUAUGUGACCUUAGCUCAAGGAGAAUACGGUGAGGACUGGGUGUCCUGAGCUGCGUGUUCAGGACUGGGUGUCCGGGACUGUGUGUCCUAAGGUUUAAAUACCUAGCCGCUCCAACCAGACGUACAGUUGUCACAACAACUGGAACUGGUCCAACAAAUCAUUGUCUUCAACAAGUCACUGGUUUCAUUUUCACUUCACUUUACUUAUGGUUACUCCUUGUGAAGUCAUUGUAUAUUUGCUCUAUCAUUUGUCUUCACUGAGUGACUGCGUGUUCUGUUUGGCUUCACAAUAUCUUCCUACCUGAUCCUUACUACCUAGCUGCUAUUAGUCUUUGUGCUUUCACUUCAUUGAAUACUUGACUAUGGUUUGCCUAGUGUAGCCUACCUUCCGCUGCAUGGUAAUAGGCCUCAAGUCUAUGCUGAAGACUUUCCGGCUGCAUCAGCCGCAGAAGAAGAAGUACCACAAGAUCCCACUCCCCUGCUCCACCAAGAAGCAAUUCUCCAGGAGAACGUGCCUUUGACCGACCCUCCAGCUAGUCAAGUGGAGGAUGAAAAUCUUGAGGCUGCCACAACCAACAACGAAGCUAAUGUGGAGCCCUCCCCAGCAAAAGCUUCAGAAGACAGUGAAGCCACUGAUCCCGCCACUUCUGUUCCUGAGUCUGCUGCCGGUCCCCAAUACAACUAUCAUGUUGAGCACAUGCCUCAGGUCCAGAAGCCAAUCCCAAGACUGCCAAGGUUUCCAGGUCCUGCAUCAGCACCUGGCUCCUUCAACAUCAAUGGCUUCAGGGCAGACAACACGUUAUUCAAUAGCUCCAGGAACCCCUACUCAAGGGAAAGGAUAUCAUCUGAUCGGUUCUGGAGCUAUCCUCAGCGAAGCUAUUACUCUUGCAUACUUUACAACCAAGGUCGCAUCUUUCCACACAAGCGCCUUGAUGUUGAAGCUAUAGCUGGUCUGCCCUGUCUAGAAGAAGCGUUGGAUUGCUUCAAGCAAGUGGGUCUGCUGCAGUUUGUUACUGAUGAAGAGCAUUGGAAUGAAGAGCUGCUGCUACAAUUCUAUGCCACACUUCACAUCAAAGGGUAUAGCAGAGAUCCGAAGACUUGGGUCCUGGAGUGGAUGACUGGCAACGUUCAUCAUGAAGCCAAUGCAUUUGACAUCAUUGAGCUCACUGGCUUGCCCACUCCUGGUGAUCUCUUCGAGCAAGGCUGUCAGCUGCAUGCUGAAGCUAUUGAGAGCAUCUUUCAGCGGCCAGAACCUGAUAUGAGUCAAAUGCUCAGCAUGAUGAAGCCAUUGCCCCAAGAUGCUGCUUAUCCCACAGAGUUCUUCGUUGAAGACCUUGAGUACCUGCCCAGGACCAUCUAUCACAUCAUCAGGUGAACUCUCUGGCCUAUCAAAGGGCACUCUCCAAAUGCCAAGCUUCAGGGUGCAAUGAAGACUUUGGUCUUCUAUAUACUUCAUGGCAAAUGCUUCAAUGCACAGGACUUCUUCAUACGCCAACUUGCUGCAUCAGGCAUUGAUCUGUUUUGUUUGAAGUUCUAUGCCCCUUGGGUCAUGCGGUUGAUUAAGCUACACUCCGCCAUCUCUUAUCAGCCCUCAGCCCGCAACCAUCAGAUCUUCUUGCCUGAUGUGGACAUGUCUACCGAAGCCAUAUAUUCUGAGCCUGCCAAGCAACCUCUAAGUCUUCAGAAUGCAGAACAUCAGAGUUUUACACAAAAUGUUGAAGGCAUUGAAGCAGUUUCUCGGGUGUAUCCUUUGGCUGGCACUACACACGCACCACACCCUGCUUCAACUGAAGCCACUGACAGUGCCACUGCUCCAAGACCCAAGAAGCGCACUCGUGUUCUCAACGACCGAGAGCUUCUUGUGGCUCUACAUCAGAAACAAGAUAGGCAUCAUGACUGGCUGAAGCGUCAGAUGAAAAGCCUCUUGGUGGAUGUUAAUCGCACUCGAAAUCUUGCCACCAAGAAUGCGUUCGUUGCCCAUGAAACCUGUCGCCGCACAUGGAAAUGGCUAACGAUGAUGCUUUCUGAAGCUAAUCUUCAAGAGGAUGGCUUCACUGAGAGAUUCAAGUUUGACUCCACACCUCCUCGAAGGGCUGUGCUGCUAGGAACUCCAUCCCUUGAAGACUCUGAGUUCUCUUCCUCUGCUGCCACAGUCACUGCCAAAAUUAAUGAGGAAGAAGACGAUGCUACUUCACCGCCAUAUCCUUCAGCACCUCCAAGCUCUUCUGCACCGCCAAACAACACCAACAAUCCUGCUACUUCACCUACUCCUCAUGGGAACGAGUAGAGGCUCUAUGUCUUCAAACCUUUUUGGUCAUUACUGACAAAAGGGGGAGAAGCAUAUGAGAUUGAUAGUCUUCAAGCGGGUUCAUAUGGGCGGGUGCUUUAUAUUUUGCUUCGUGCUUACAACUCUCGUUUUUGCUACAUUUGGUUCUUAUGAGUUGUAACACUUAAACUAGAUGGUCGUCUGCUACUUAUUUGCCACCUUAUUUUGCGAAGAUAAAUUCCGCAUGUGCGACGAUAAAUUUCGCACUUAGCUCGUUCUGCAGACAUCCAUUUUCCAUUAUGCAUGGCAUUAUCUUCAUAUACUUUCACAUGCAUAGUGGAUUGUCAUCAUAAGUUGAAGUGGAUCUCCACAAGUACCACCUGCCAUGUGCAUUUGCAUUCCAAAAGCAAAUUAACUUAUAUGCACAUCUUCAGGGGGGGCCCUUGCAACUUAUGAAGACAAUUCCUUAUCCUUUACAGUUUCACAGAUUAUAUUCCCCGUUGAAAACUUCAACUAGUUUGUCAUCAAUCACCAAAAAGGGGGAGAUUGUAAGUGCAUCUAGUGCCACCCUAGUUGGUUUUGGAGUAUUGACGACAAACCUAGUUGAGGGACUGAUGUGUUUGUGAGAAUUGCAGGAUAACACAGGUAGAAGUCCCUCAUGAUUCGGUUUUACUACCAGAGAUGACCCCUAAAAAUGUAUGAAGACAUUGAAGUCAAAGGUGGUAUAUGAAGAUAUUCACAUUGAAGGCUAUGACAAGAGAAGACACGAUAUGAAGCCUAUGGAGCUCGAAGACUUAGAUCUUUCGUAGUUCUUUUUCUUUUGUGUUGAGUCAUAGGAACCACCGUACUAUGAAGUGGGGUCCAAGAGAACCAGUCAGAAUGACUGAAGUGAUGCCUAAACCAAAAACCUAUGUCUUCGAGUGAAGACUAUGAGAGCGAAUCUUGUCCAGAGUCGGACAAGUCAGCUUUGCUUGUAGCCCAAGUAAAGUUGCCGUGUGAGUUUGAAAUCUGACCGUUGGGACACAUGUUAGUUCCUUAGUGACCCAGGGUCAUUUCGGACAAAUCAGGUCGGGUUGCCAAGUGGCUAUAAAUAGCCCACCCCCUACAACCAUAAAUGGUUGGCUGCUCAGAUUGAAAGUACGACUUUUGUCGUUUGAGAGCAACCCACCUCGAAGCCUUUGAGAGAGAAUUCCCUGCGAGGAUAAAGCCCUAACCACCAGAGCCAGAGAGAAUUGGGCAUCACUUAAGUCUUCUUGUCUGUGUGAUCUGAAGACUUAUUACACUUGAGGACUAUGCAUCCUCCAGCCGGUUAGGCGUCGCGUUCUGAGCAUCCAAGAGACAUUGUGGAUUGCCGGUGAACGAAGUCUGUGAAGGUUUGGGAGUCUACCUUGAAGACUUACGAGAGUGAUUGGGCGAGGUCUAUGUGACCUUAGCUCAAGGAGAAUACGGUGAGGACUAGGUGUCCUGAGCUGCGUGUUCAGGACUGGGUGUCCGGGACUGUGUGUCCUAAGGUUUAAAUACCUAGCCACUCCAACCAGACGUACAGUUGUCACAGCAACUGGAACUGGUCCAACAAAUCAUUGUCUUCAACGAGUCACUGGUUUCAUCUUCACUUCACUUUACUUACGGUUACUCCUUGUGAACUCAUUGUAUGUUUGCUCUAUCAUUUGUCUUCACUGAGUGACUGCGUGUUCUGUUUGGCUUCACAAUAUCUUCCUACCUGAUCCUUACUACCUAGCUGCUAUUAGUCUUUGUGCUUUCACUUCAUUGAAUACUUGACUAUGGUUUGCCUAGUGUAGCCUACCUUCCGCUGCAUGGUAAUAGGUUUAAUUUUAUCGUUUGUCUUCAAAACUCCCAUGUUCUAAAGAUUUUCAUAAAAAUCGCCUAUUCACCCCCCCUCUAGUCGAUAUAACGCACUUUCAAUUGGUAUCAGAGCAAGGUGCUCCCUUGUUCUGUGUGAUUCGGUUUAACCACCUGGAGUUUUAGCUAUGUCGACUGCAGUGAUAAUUAAAGUCUCCGCUGCGUGCCCCGUCUUCGAUGGAACUGAAUAUCCCUACUGGAAGAAUAAGAUGCGCAUGCAUCUUGAAGCCAUUGACGUCGACCUAUGGUAUGUCGUUGAGAAUGGCGUUCCCAAGGCUAAAGAAGGUGUCACUGCUGCUGAUGUCAAGAAAUUCGUUCAACUGGACUCUACUGCCAAGAAUAUCAUCUGUGGUCAUCUGACCAAAGGACAGUAUGGCCGUGUGAGUGCUUUGAAGACAUCCAAGCUGGUCUGGGACUGGCUCUCCAAGGUCAAUGAAGGCAUCUCAACCCAGAGAGAUCAGAGAAUUAGUGUCCUUCGCAACCUCUUUAACCGCUUCAAGCGAAAUGACAAUGAGAAUGUCCAGCACACAUUUGACCAACUCACUGACAUCACAAAUGAGCUUCAAGCCCUCGGUGCCACUGAGAUUACCAAACACGAAGUCAUCAAGAUGCUGCUGAGAUCUCUUGAUAGUUCGUUUGACAUCCUGGCCCUGAUGAUUCAAGAACGUCCUGAUUUCAAGACACUCGAUCCGUCUAACAUACUUGAGAGGCUCAACACACAUGAGUUUCAGCUUUCAGAGAAAAGAGAGAUCUACGGUCCAAACUAUGGGCGAACUCGUGCCUUGAAGGCAAAAGCUGUCUCCUCAUCUGAAGAAGAAUCUGACAGCAGUUCUGAUGACCCUGAAGGCAUUGGAAGGGAACUUGCUAUGCUUGUCAAGAAGGUCCAAAAAUUCACCAAGAAGAAAGGCUUCAGAAAGUCUUCCCGAUCAAGUUCAAGGAAUGAUGAAGCUCCUGCUCAUGACUACAAGAAGAAAACAUGUCACAAGUGCAAGAAACUUGGCCACUUCAUCUCUGAGUGUCCACAGUGGGACAAUGAGAACAAAAAGAAGAAGAAGAGCAAGGAAUAUGACUCUGACGACAAGAAGAAGCAAAAGAAAUACUCAAAGUCUUCUUCCAAAUCUUCCUCAAAGUCUUCAUCACACAAGAAGAGCUCAUCUGGCAAGGCACGUGCGUUUGUUGGCAAGAAAAUGGAUUCACAGGAGGAGUCUGCUUCUGAGGAGGCGGAGGUGGAGUCUGAGGAGGAAUCCGACUCAGGCGUCGCAAGUCUGGCUACAACAUACGUUGCCAAGUCCAUCUUCAACACUGAAGACAAUGACUUCAUCACCGACACCGAUGCAAAUGACAAGGACUACUCCGCUUCUACCUACUACUUCAUGGCACGCGGUGCCAAGGUAAACACACUCACUACUCACUAUCAAACAUCUAGUGACGAUGACUCUGAUUGUGGUUCAAAACCUAGCUACAAAACACUUGCUAAAAUUGCAACUGAACAAUAGAAAGCUAAGGAACAUAUUCAAAAACUGUUAGACAGAAGCGAUGAUCUGUUAGGUGCUGAAAUGACUCGAUCUGAAUCCUUAAUUGAAGACAUAAAAAAUCUUCACGUUAAGUAUCAGGAACUUGAAAGUCGUCAUGAAACUCUCUCAACAACUCAUGAAAAGCUUUCCUAUGAUUAUCUUCAAAGGAAGCAAGAUCUUGAGAAAUUAAGAGCGGUUCAUGAAGAUCUUCAAACGGAAAACGAGUCACUUCGUGCCAAACAGACCAGUCCCGCUCAGGAAGGAUUUGAACCACCAUGUCUUAAAUGCAUUGAGCGUGAUAAUGCUACUUCUGUUGCUGAAUGUUCUACUGCUACUGCUGUUGCAAUAUCUUCAACUGUUGAUGCGGUAACUAACCCCUCAGCUGAGGAUACCACCGCUAUUGCUGAUGAGAAUGCUAGGUUGAAGACAUUGCUUGAAACAGGAAUGUACAAAAGUCUUAAAGGGCAUCAGACGCUAUGUGAUGUCCUGAAAAAGCAGAUUCUGAACCGAAACCCUAGGAAAGAGGGUGUAGGGUUUGUAAGGAAAAUGAAUGCAGAUGGCUCUUACUGGAAACCUGAGCAGUACCCCAAAACCAUGUGGGUUGCUGCAAAGGAACCUUCAGCAGAUUCAUCCAAUCUAUCUGGCUUCACUUGUGCUAACCCCAUUAUCAUUGAUGAAUCCUUUGAUGCAAACUAUAUACUGUUUAAGAAUCAGAAUGGUGAAGUGUUUGCCAGGUACAUUGGUACUAACUGCAGGAAUGGACCGCCUAUGAAGAAGAUCUGGGUUCCGAAAAGGUGUCUGGAGAGUCUUCCUGUGAAUGUCAUCAUGACACCUCACGUGAAGAAGACAAACCUCAGACCAAAGGCUUCAUACGGACCAAAGGCUUCAUACAGACAGAGGACUCACCUGAGUCGCACUAACGCAAAUGUUUUGCAGGAAAAUCAUACCCAGGCAUAUGAAUAUGAGAGCGGUUCAUCAAACCGCCAUGUUCAUAAGACCAAGAACUAUUCAGCUUAUUCUUAUGAGUACUAUUGUCCGCCUGCAAGACUGUUUGCUAAGGCUUCAAAGCCAAAAUUCUCAGAUGCUGCACUUAGACUUAUUGCUUCUAAGCCCCCCUUGAAGAUGUGGGUGGUUAAGAAGGCUUAACUCUCUUUUGCAGGGAAAGGUCUCCAGCAGAAAACCAAAAUCGUCUGACGCUAUUGCUGGGGACCUUAAACAUCUUGUAGGGCGCAAGAUCAAAUGCCCAAAUGGUCUUACUAUGUACUUCGUACCUGAAUCGCUUGCUACUCUCCCUAUUAGUCCUAACCUGGAUCUAAGCUUUCAUAACCCACUGGUUCAUCAAAUGUUUUUGCUUCAUAAUGCUCUUGGUGAAGCCUAUCCCCCUAACUGCACUGUAGGGUACGACACCAGCGUCUUCAGAAUGGAUUAUUGACAGUGGGUGUACAAAUCACAUGAUUGGCAAAAGAAGUCUUCUUAUGGACUCAACCUUACGUCCAUCCGACAAGAGCCACAUCACAUUUGCUGACACUGGUAAAAGUAAGGUAUUGGGUCUAGGUAGAGUUGCAAUCUCAAGGGAUCAACACAUGGAUAAAGUCAUGCUUGUUGAAUCCCUUGGCUUCAACUUAAUGUCUGUCUCAAUGCUUUGCGAUUUGAACAUGAUCGUAAUGUUUGGAAAAUAUCGUUGCCUUGUACUAAUGGAAUCUGACAAGUCUCUAGUGUUUGAAGGGUAUCGAAAAGAUGAUUUGUACGUGGUAGAUUUCUCAGUAGGGCCACAACUUGCAGUAUGUCUUCUAGCAAAGGCUUCAGAAUGCUGGCUCUGGCAUCGGAGGCUUGGACAUGCUGGCAUGAGGAACCUCCACACCCUUGCGAAGAAGAAGCAUGUCAUAGGCAUCGAGGGCGUCAAGUUCAAGAAAGACCACUUAUGCGGUGCGUGUGAAGCAGGGAAGAUGACGAGGGCCAAACAUCCCUCGAAGACAAUCAUGACUACUACUCAACCCUUCGAACUGCUUCACAUGGAUCUUUUCGGUCCCACUCAUUACUCAACUCUAACUAUUACUGCUUGCCUCUAUGGCUUAGUUAUUGUUGAUGAUUAUUCUAGAUAUACUUGGGUGCACAUAAUCCUUUACAAGACUGAAGUGCAGGAUGUCUUCAGACGCUUCGCCAAUCGAGCUAUGAACAAUUUUGGCGCCAAGAUAAAGCACAUCAGAAGUGACAAUGGCACUGAAUUCAAGAACACUGGCCUUGAUACAUAUCUUGAUACCUUGGGCAUCACACAUGAAUUCUCAGCCCCGUACACGCCACAGCAGAAUGGCGUCGUCGAACGCAAGAACAGAAGACUAAUUGAGAUGGCCAUAACGAUGCUAGAUGAAUACAAGACCGCAAGAAAAUUCUGGCCCGAAGCCAUUGAUACUGCAUGCCGUACAAUCAAUCGUGUUUAUCUUCACAAGCUACUGAACAAGACAUCUUAUGAGCUCCUUACUGGCAAAGAGCCAAAUGUCAGUUACUUCAGAGUAUUUGGCGCAAGGUGCUGGAUCAAGGACCCACAUCACACCUCAAAAUUUGCACCAAAAGCACAUGAGGGUUUUAUGCUUGGAUAUGGAAAGGAUUCGCACUCCUACAGAGUCUUCAAUCUCUUUCAUUACAAAGUGGUUGAAAUAGUGGAUGUGCAGUUCGAUGAGACCAACGGUUCACAAAGAGAACAGCUGCCAAGUGUGCUAGAUGAAGUUCCAUCCAGUGAAUCAAUCAAGCUAAUGGGAACUGGAGAAAUUAUACCUUCUGAAGCUCAUCCUGAAGAAGAACUUAUCAUUUCAGCACCUGAUCAACAUGAAGACAAUGCUCAGCCUGAAGACAUUCCUUCCAACAACGACAAUGAACAGCAAGAGCAAAGUCUUCGCCCUGUACAUCCUUGCAUUGCCAAUGAAGUGUAGAUUGAAAGAAUAAUUGAUAGCAUCAAUGCACCUAGUCCACUCACUCGUUCAAGGGUAACCCAGCUAGCAAAUUUCCGUGGGCACUUCGCAUUCGUCUCAAUAUCAGAACCCAAGAAAGUUGAAGAAGCCUUCAUGGAACCUGAAUGGAUUCAAGCUAUGCAAGAAGAGCUUCAACAGUUUGAGCUGAAUAAUGUAUGGGAACUGGUUAAGCAUCCUGAUCCACGGAAGCACAAUAUAAUAGGCACCAAAUGGAUAUACCGCAACAAGCAAGAUGAGCAUGGUCAAGUUGUCAGAAACAAAGCUCGUCUCGUUGCUCAAGGAUAUACUCAAGUGGAAGGCAUUGACUUCGAUGAAACAUUUGCUCCUGUGGCUAGACUUGAAGCCAUACGCAUACUGCUGGCCUGUGCAAACCAUCAUAACAUACUUCUAUAUCAAAUGGAUGUGAAGAGUGCCUUUCUCAAUGGCAAGAUUGAAGAAGAAGUGUAUGUUGCACAACCGCCUGGCUUUGAAAAUCCAAAACAUCCUGACAUGGUAUACAAGCUCAACAAGGCACUGUAUGGCCUCAAACAAGCCCCUAGGGCCUGGUAUGACACACUCAAAUACUUACUGAAGAGAAAAGGCUUCAUACCUGGUUCCCUAGAUCCCACUCUUUUCACGAAGACAUAUGAUGGUGAACUGUUUGUGUGCCAAAUAUAUGUGGAUGACAUUAUCUUCGGCUGCACCAAUCAGAAGUACAGUGAAGAGUUUGGAUAUAUGAUGCAAGAGCAAUAUCAGAUGUCCAUGAUGGGGGAGCUAAAGUUCUUCCUUGGUCUUCAAAUACGACAGCAACGCAAUGGCAUCUUCAUAUCUCAAGAGAAGUAUCUCAAAGAUUGCCUGAAGAAGUUCGGUAUGCAAGACUGCAAAGGCUUCACAACACCAAUGCCAGCCAAACAUCAUCUGGGUCCUGACAACAAUGGUAAAGAGUUCGAUCAAAAGGUAUACCGCUCCAUGAUUGGUUCUUUACUUUAUCUAUGUGCAUCUAGGCCAGAUAUUAUGCUUAGUGUUUGCAUGUGUGCUCGAUUUCAAGCGGCACCAAAGGAGUCGCAUCACUUAGCUGUGAAGCGAAUUCUUCGAUAUUUGGCUCACACCCCAACUCUAGGAUUAUGGUAUCCAAAGGGCUCAGAGUUUGAUCUGGUUGGAUUCUCGGAUGCUGAUUAUGCUGGUGACAAAUUUGAUCGCAAGUCUACAUCAGGCACAUGUCACUUUCUGGGACGAUCACUUGUAUGUUGGUCUUCAAAGAAGCAAAACUGUGUAUCUCUCUCCACUGUUGAAUCUGAAUACAUUGCUGCUGGAUCUUGCUGCGCUCAGCUUCUGUGGAUGAAGCAAACACUCAAGGACUAUGGCAUUCAUCUGAAGCAAGUGCCACUUUACUGCGACAACGAAAGCGCCAUCAAGAUUGCCAACAACCCAGUUCAGCACUCAAAGACAAAGCACAUUGAAAUUCGUCAUCACUUUCUCAGAGAUCAUGUUGUGAAGGAAGACAUUGAUAUCAUACACGUCAACACUGAAGAGCAAUUGGCAGAUAUCUUCACCAAGCCCUUGGAUGAGAAGAGGUUUUGCAAGUUACGGUGUGAGCUAAAUAUCCUGGAAUCCUCAAAUGUCCUGUGAUCAGGCACACAUCCUAACCCAUAUGCAUAUUGAUGACUUAGAUGUGCAACACACGAAGUGAAGUAUAUCUUCAAUCAAUGAAGACAUACAUUCUAAGUGUGAAUACAUUAAUGUGGAAUUUGACUUCGGAGCGCCACGAUAAUUGUGCGCCAUGUCUGGGUCUAAUACUUCCUAUAUGGUGGGUAACGCCACCACCAAACGUUCUAUUUUGAAGUGUUUCACUCAUGGCAUUACCUUGCAAUGUCUUCACAUUUGGUUUGGCUUCGAACUCAACACAUUUUCAUGAUUAUCUUCACUAUGUUGAUUAUAUAUAUAUAUAUAUAUAUAUAUAUAUAUAUAUAUAUAUAUGCUAGUGUUCUGUCCUCUACAGCAUUCACUUAUAGCUAUGUCUUCGUGUUGAAUCUUUUGAACUAAGUGAAUGUGAUCGGACCCCAACUUCUCUAUGCUUUCUAUCUCAAACUCUAUCUCUCCAAGUGAUAUGCAUUCUAUUGAAACUGUCGAAUGUCUUCUCUGUGUCCUUGUUAGCAGAAGAUACAGAGACAACCAUUAAGUCCAUGUUCAAUGCUCAUUCCUCCACAUGAAAUCCGGAGAAGUAGGAACGACCACGCGACAAUCCAGGCGUGCGUUGGACGUGGAACAAACCCCAAAAUUCCGCGUACUGGCCACGUGUUCCUCAGAUGCGAAUCGCCAGGGGCACCUGUGUAAUAGCACAGUGCCGCUCAUGUGCCUAUAAAUACACACUAACAUCGGUCAUUAUCUCUUCUUCCACCCUCGCACGAACCCUAGCGCCACCGCUAGCUCACGACGACGCCGACGACGAAGCGCUUCGCUGCCGCAACCUCUCCGACACCGUCUUCACGCCGACCGCGGACAUCGUCCUCUCCGCCCUCGCCGUAGGUGUCCUCCGUCGCCAAGUUAGGGCACGGAAGAGUGAACUGCUUGGCCUCAUCUCCCACUCCGUCUAGCAGUUCUCAGUGUGGUAAACAAAACUCCCUUUUUACAGCACCGUUGAUCCUAUUGAUCUGUCACUUUCUACCACAAGCAGCUUCUGUUCACACAAGCUAGAUCUCUCUCAUACUGCAUCUCAUUACAUGCCUAGUAUAUUCACUUGUGCUUCACAAAGUAGUUAGAUUCCUCACUUGUACUGAUCUGUGGAUUCGUACAAAUCUGGAACCAACUUCUUAUCUAUGAGUGAAUGUCUUCGCACGAUGAGGUCAAUGUCUUCUAAACUGAUUUAUCUUCAAAAAUCUUCUAAGAAUGCAUAUGACCUCUUCCCCUUCCCUCGCACCUUAAUGCUAUCACAGGUACAUGUCCGUGGUAGAAUCCUUUGGUUCUCAUAGUCUGCAUUCAUUUGCAAAAUUCUUACAGCAUGACAAUUCUCCCGAAGCCAGUUCCUGUUGGUCCAGCAAACGAAAACCUUUGAAGCCUUUGAACGUCUUGAAGCCUUUCAAGUUAAAGUUUAUGGCUUCAGAAAAGGCAGCAAGGAAGGGUGGCAGAAAGCGUCGUGGUGAGACCUCCAGAGAUCUGCCAGAUGAACUCUCAGAAAUGUACAAGACAGAUCCUGAAGAGGAUUACAGUCAGCGCAAGACCCGAAUCCAAUGGAUUCGAAGAUAUUGGGCAGAACAAUGGUUCAAAUACAGAUUUGUGACCCAGGAGUAUGCUGAGAAAAACGCCAUCAAGAGACCGUGGGGAGACAUCCUAUUCAAGAAUCUUCUACCCAGGUCGAGAGAUGAAGCCAUUGCUCAAGGCUUCUAUCCAUGCAUGGUCCGUGGACCACAACCUACUGAUGCACACUCGUUGUCACUGCUAUGGUGUCGUGACGACAAUCUAUUCAAGCGCAACUUCCAGUUUUCUCAAAACUCUGCGAAGCAGAACAAGAAGACUUUUGGGUUAGACUUCAACCCUGGUCCCUCAUCUCCAAGGGCAGAUGGCACACGACAUGCAGAACCCAAUGUCAUCGGUCCUUUCGCCAACCUUGAAGGCCUCAUCACCUACAUCUUGGUUCAAGGGACUGCAGUGAAUGAGCCUGCGGCUGACACUGAGUCUGAUGACGCGCCUGCAGUGCCGAAGCCAAAGGAAUUGAAGAAGCCAAAAGCUUCAAAGCCAGCCCCUUCACCAAAAAUCUCAAGGGCAAAGCCAUUGGCAACUGCACCUCCUAAAGAGAGUGUGCAGUCUGAAGAUUUAUCACGCGUCUCCAAGCCCCAGAAGGCCAAGAUGCCUCUGUCUCACACUGGCAAAGAGCUAACAGCUGCUGCCAUCCUGCGCAAUGACAACAUUGAUCUGUCAAGUGAUGAAGAUCUUGCAGAUGACGCUCUUGAGCAACUCAUCAAGAGCAAAGAAGAAGAAGAAAUCUUCAAUGAUCUGCCUCUCUUUGAUGUCACCAUCAUCCACAACUUCAUUGACGAGUGGUUUGACACGCCAAACAUCAGCUUUGAAGAUCUGCAGCUACCUAUUGGCCUCAGUGUCGCCUUCCAAGGCGCCAUUGCUUCAGAACUUGCUAUUGCCCAGCGCAUUGUUGAACUGAAGCAGAAGAUUGACUAUGAAAAGGCUCAGUUCAAGAAGCAUAUGGCCAAGCUCAGCGUGCAAGAAGUGAAGAACUUCAAGACAAUGAUGCACGAGCUCAAGGAAACCUUUGUGAAGAAGCGUGCAGAAGCUCAGGGUUCGUGUGAGCGCAUGAAGACUCUGGCUGACAGAUGUGUGCAAGCCUAUAAUGAGGCUGAGAAACAUAAAGCACUUGGGCGUCCUGGCAUCGACCCGAGGAUGGCUGCAAAGAAGAAGAAGAAGCCUGCUAUGGCUAAAUCUGAUGCACCAAGGCAAGAAGCAGUUCCGAUUGUCUUCCCAACAAGAAUGACUGGCUCGAAGCCAAAGAGCCGGUCAACAGCUUCAGAACUCAAGAAGACAAGAACUGCUGAGGCUGAAGCCAGGAAGAGGAAACACUCUGAAGCCUCUCCUACUGCCCCCACCAAGAAAAAGAGAAAGACCAAGAAAGCUCGGGCUGCUCCCACAGAGCCCUUGAUAAUUGAACCCAUUUAUAUGGUUCAUCCUGACGCAGAACAUCAACUGACGGUUCAUGAGCCUGCUUCCACAGAGGCUCCUGAAGCUGAAGACAUUCUAGCAGCUGAUCCCAUCGCUGCUGAAGAUAUUGGUCAUCAUGACAAUGUAGAAGAUGAUGCAGUCCUUCCUCAGUUAGAAAACAGCAAACUCAUCAGCAUUGGUCGUCCACUGACGCCAAUUGCACAGGAUGCUUCAUGGGCGGAUCGCCCACAAGAGGAAGAAGACUAUGAGGCCCAGCCCACUCCAACUCCAUAGGCGUCGUCUGCGUUCCGCAGGCUUCGCAAAGGUCCAAGGCCUCAAGUCUAUGCUGAAGACUUUCCGGCUGCAUCAGCCGCAGAAGAAGAAGUACCACAAGAUCCCACUCCCGUGCUCCACCAAGAAGCAGUUCUCCAGGAUAACGUGCCUGUGACCGACCCUCCAGCUAGUCAAGUGGAGGAUGAAAAUCUUGAGGCUGCCACAACCAACAAUGAAGCUAAUGUGGAGCCCUCCCCAGCAAAAGCUUCAGAAGACAGUGAAGCCACUGAUCCCGCCACUUCUGUUCCUGAGUCUGCUGCCGGUCCCCAAUACAACUAUCAUGUUGAGCACAUGCCUCAGGUCCAGAAGCCAAUCCCAAGACUGCCAAGGUUUCCAGGUCCUGCAUCAGCACCUGGCUCCUUCAACAUCAAUGGCUUCAGGGCAGACAACACGUUAUUCAAUAGCUCCAGGAACCCCUACUCAAGGGAAAGGAUAUCAUCUGAUCGGUUCUGGAGCUAUCCUCAGCGAAGCUAUUACUCUUGCAUACUUUACAACCAAGGUCGCAUCUUCCCACACAAGCGCCUUGAUGUUGAAGCUAUAGCUGGUCUGCCCUGUCUAGAAGAAGCGUUGGAUUGCUUCAAGCAAGUGGGUCUGCUGCAGUUUGUUACUGAUGAAGAGCAUUGGAAUGAAGAGCUGCUGCUACAAUUCUAUGCCACACUUCACAUCAAAGGGUAUAGCAGAGAUCCGAAGACUUGGGUCCUGGAGUGGAUGACUGGCAACGUUCAUCACGAAGCCAAUGCAUUUGACAUCAUUGAGCUCACUGGCUUGCCCACUCCUGGCGAUCUCUUCGAGCAAGGCUGUCAGCUGCAUGCUGAAGCUAUUGAUAGCAUCUUUCAGCGGCCAGAACCUGAUAUGAGUCAAAUGCUCAGCAUGAUGAAGCCAUUGCCCCAAGAUGCUGCUUAUCCCACAGAGUUCUUCGUUGAAGACCUUGAGUACCUGCCCAGGACCAUCUAUCACAUCAUCAGGCGAACUCUCUGGCCUAUCAAAGGGCACUCUCCAAAUGCCAAGUUUCAGGGUGCAAUGAAGACUUUGGUCUUCUAUAUACUUCAUGGCAAAUGCUUCAAUGCACAGGACUUCUUCAUACGCCAACUUGCUGCAUCAGGCAUUGAUCUGUUUGGUUUGAAGUUCUACGCCCCUUGGGUCAUGCGGCUGAUCAAGCUACACUCCGCCAUCUCUUAUCAGCCCUCAGCCCGCAACCAUCGGAUCUUCUUGCCUGACGUGGACAUGUCUACCAAAGCCAUAUAUUCUGAGCCUGCCAAGCAACCUCUAAGUCUUCAGAAUGCAGAACAUCAGAGUUUUACACGAAACGUUGAAGGCGUUGAAGCAGUUUCUCGGGUGUAUCCUUUGGCUAGCACUACACAUGCACCACACCCUGCUUCAACUGAAGCCACUGACAGUGCCACUGCUCCAAGACCCAAGAAGCGCACUCGUGUUCUCAACGACCGAGAGCUUCUUGUGGCUCUACAUCAGAAACAAGAUAGGCAUCAUGACUGGCUGAAGCGUCAGAUGAAAAGCCUCUUGGUGGAUGUUAAUCGCACUCGAAAUCUUGCCACCAAGAAUGCGUUCGUUGCCCAUGAAACCUGUCGCCGCACAUGGAAAGGGCUAACGAUGAUGCUUUUUGAAGCUGAUCUUCAAGAGGAUGGCUUCACUGAGAGAUUCAAGUUUGACUCCACACCUCCUCGAAGGGCCGUGCUGCUAGAAGCAUAUGAGAUUGAUAGUCUUCAAGCGGGUUCAUAUGGGCGGGUGCUUUAUAUUUUGCUUCGUGCUUACAACUCUCGUUUUUGCUACAUUUGGUUCUUAUGAGUUGUAACACUUAAACUAGAUGGUCGUCUGCUACUUAUUUGCCACCUUAUUUUGCGAAGAUAAAUUCCGCAUGUGCGACGAUAAAUUCCGCACUUAGCUCAUUCUACAGACGUCCAUUUUCCAUUAUGCAUGGCAUUAUCUUCAUAUACUUUCACAUGCAUAGUGGAUUGUCAUCAUAAGUUGAAGUGGAUCUCCACAAGUACCACCUGCCAUGUGCAUUUGCAUUCCAAAAGCAAAUUAACUUAUAUGCACAUCUUCAGGGGGAGCCCUUGAACCUUAUGAAGACAAUUCCUUAUCCUUUACAGUUUCACAGAUUAUAUUCCCCAUUGAAAACUUCAACUAGUUUGUCAUCAAUCACCAAAAAGGGGGAGAUUGUAAGUGCAUCUAGUGCCACCCCUAGUUGGUUUUGGAGUAUUGACGACAAACCUAGUUGAGGGACUAAUGUGUUUGUGAGAAUUGCAGGAUAACACAGGUAGAAGUCCCUCAUGAUUCGGUUUUACUACCAGAGAUGACCCCUAAAAAUGUAUGAAGACAUUGAAGUCAAAGGUGGUAUAUGAAGAUAUUCACAUUGAAGACUAUGACAAGAGAAGACACGAUAUGAAGCCUAUGGAGCUCAAAGACUUAGAUCUUUCGUAGUUCUUUUUCUUUUGUGUUGAGUCAUAGGAACCACUGUACUGUUAAGUGGGGUCCAAGAGAACCAGUCAGAAUGACUGAAGUGAUGCCUAAACCAAAAACCUAUGUCUUCGAGUGAAGACUAUGAGAGCGAAUCUUGUCCAGAGUCGGACAAGUCAGCUUUGCUUGUAGCCCAAGUAAAGUUGCCGUGUGAGUUUGAAAUCUGACCGUUGGGACACGUGUCAGUUCCUUAGUGACCCAGGGUCAUUUCAGACAAAUCAGGUCGGGUUGCCAAGUGGCUAUAAAUAGCCCACCCCCUACAACCAUAAAUGGUUGGCUGCUCAGAUUGAAAGUACGGCUUUUGUCGUUUGAGAGCAACCCACCUCGAAGCCUUUGAGAGAGAAUUCCCUGCGAGGAUAAAGCCCUAACCACCAGAGCCAGAGAGAAUUGGGCAUCACUUAAGUCUUCUUGUCUGUGUGAUCUGAAGACUUAUUACACUUGAGGACUGUGCAUCCUCCAGCCGGUUAGGUGUCGCGUUCUGAGCAUCCAAGAGACAUUGUGGAUUGCCGGUGAACGAAGUUUGUGAAGGUUUGGGAGUCUACCUUGAAGACUUACCAGAGUGAUUGGGCGAGGUCUAUGUGACCUUAGCUCAAGGAGAAUACGGUGAGGACUGGGUGUCCUGAGCUGCGUGUUCAGGACUGGGUGUCUGGGACUGUGUGUCCUAAGGUUUAAAUACCUAGCCGCUCCAACCAGACGUACAGUUGUCACAGCAACUGGAACUGGUCCAACAAAUCAUUGUCUUCAACGAGUCACUGGUUUCAUCUUCACUUCACUUUACUUACGGUUACUCCUUGUGAAGUCAUUGUAUGUUUGCUCUAUCAUUUGUCUUCACUGAGUGACUGCGUGUUCUGUUUGGCUUCACAAUAUCUUCCUACCUGAUCCUUACUACCUAGCUGCUAUUAGUCUUUGUGCUUUCACUUCAUUGAAUACUUGACUAUGGUUUGCCUAGUGUAGCCUACCUUCCGCUGCAUGGUAAUAGGUUUAAUUUUAUCGUUUGUCUUCAAAACUCCCAUGUUCUGAAGACUUUCAUAAAAAUCGCCUAUUCACCCUCCUCUAGUCGAUAUAACACACUUUCAGGAACAAUAAAAAGUUAUAGAUAUGUUGGAGACGUAUCACUCCCGAACGCCCGCAACCUGUUCGAGGGAAUGUCGUCCACCAUCGACGAGGACUACAUGCAGAACCUCAUCUUCGAGGGCGGUGCGCCGGCCGCUGGCUACUAUUCCGACGAGACACAAAGCCAGGACGGUCGCAGGGCGUUCACGCCUGCCGCUGGCUCUGAUCCCAAUCAGGCGACCUUUAUGCGUGAUCAGGUCGGCAUGGACUUGGACGGCCCCACUCGACCAAGAGUUCCCGGACGACUACGGGCAAGAGGAAGAGGACGAGUGCGACAUCAAAGUGGAGACUUUGUUUGAGGACGAGCUCGCCAACCAAGCCGCCGGUCCUAAGCUGAAGCGCAAGAGCAAGCGCACGAAGGCAUACACGGCUCCCGAUUUCAAGCUUUGGAGGCAUUCAAGAUCCAACACAAUGGCAAGUCCUUCAACAUCUCCCAUUGCUUCCGGGUCAUCAAGGACGAGGAGAAGUUCAAGGCGCAAUAUGCCACCCUCAAGUCGCGUGGGGGGAAACAAGUCGUGAAGGAGGUUGGGGAGGGCGAGCCGGCACGGCCGCGGGGGAAGACCAACUCCAAGAAGGAGGACAAGCGGGAUGCGACAUCCAACGCCUUGAUCACAAGCGUGGAGGGCAUGAUGAACGAGAAGGACUCAAGGGAGGAGGAGCACCGGCGUUUCAAGGAAGAGCAAAUGAACGCCUUCAUGGAGAUCCAAAGGAGGAGGCUUGAGAUGGACACGGAGAAGCAAGCCAAGAUGCUCGAGCUGGAGGCAGAGAAGCAAGCCAAGAUGCUAGAGAUCGAGACCGCCAACGCCAAGACCAAGGCGAAAGAAAUGGCUCUCGCGAGCAUGAUGACCGGGAUGGAGUUCAUGAAGAUGGAUCUCAACAUCGUGUCGUCAAGGAAGAGGCCGUGGUUCGCGAAGAUGCAUGCCGACAUGCUCAAGUUCACCGACGAGUGAUCUCGUGGCCGCGAGCGCCUUCCUUUUUUGUAUGCCGGCUUGUGUGCUGGCAUAACCGCGAGGCCGCGAUGGCGUGGUCGAACUCAAGUCCCACCCCUUUUGUGUGCUGGCAUGUGUGUCGAUCGCUGACGAGUGCGCCAACAUGAACUGCGGUGAUAUUUUUUAAAGCCGACAAUGUAUGCCGGCGCUGGCAUGGUGCCGACAUGAUCUAUGGCCGCGGUUCGUUUUUUAAAAUUGAGUGCGGACAUGAAAUGGGUCGGCGUGUUAGGCGCACUGCCGAUCCAAUGCAAAACUGAGCGGACGCUGGGCGGGCGGUCGACCCAAAUAGAUAAAAAAUGGACAAAUGCGCCGUCCGUUUGAGUCGACCCGUUGAAGUUGCUCUUAUUCGGCAUCACAACAAUUAAGCAGGGCAUUUCAAAUUUCAUAUUUCAAAAAGAGCUCAGCCAAGGUGAGUGGUGUGGUCAACAAGACCACUGCAGGCUGCUUUUCCUUCCCAGAGCCUGACCCAAACGUACUAUACGUCCCUGCUACCGCUCAUUGGGUGAACUCUUCUCGGUACAGAAAAACACCUCCCUCCCUCCCUCCGUCCCUGCUACUGCUCCUUGCUUGCAAAGCCAAACCAUGGCCGGACCAUCUCUCCCUACGCCACCGCCGGUGGAGGAGCCACAGACGGGGGCUGCGAAGUCGGUGACGACGGUCGAUGCCCUCACCGUGGACACCCUCCGCAACAUUCUCCGUCGCCUCUCCCUCGCCGACCUUCUCCGUGCCGCCCUCGCCUGCCACCGCUGGCGCCGCGUCGCCGCACGCUGCAUCCCCUGCACCGCCCCACUUCUCGGCUACUUCUUCCACCCCACCGCCACCGGUUUGCCAGCGCCCCUGCACUCGCGAUCCAAGGAGAUCGACACCCCCGCCGUCUUCGCUCCCUUGGACGCCUCCUCCCCGAGCCUCUCCCUCGACUUCGCUCCGGGGGCCUCCCGCUACGUGCUCCACGACUGCCACCAAGGCCUCCUGCUUCUCGAGCCGUUCGCGUCGCUCCCCAAGGGGACCAUCCCGCGCUUCCUCGUCAUCGACCCGGCCACCCGCCGCCGCGUGCUCCUCCCGCCGCCACCGCGCGACACGGUGCCCGACGACCACCGCUGGCGCCGCUCCAGGUACUACGUCGGCUCCGCACUGCUCUCCCGCGCGCACCCGAGCAAGCUCUGCUUCGAGGUCGUCUGCUUCGCCAUCGACGGCGGGCACCCGCGCGUCUGGGUCGCGUCCGUGGACGACGGCCGAUGCAGCUGGCGCGCCCACCCGCGGACCAUGGAGCUAGAGGUCGAUUUCGACCCCUGGUUGUUCGAAGGGCGCUGCGUGCACGCCGCCGGGAAGAUCUACUGGCACAUCUGCAACUCCUACCGCAUGCUCGUGCUGGACCCUGCGACACUGCACUUGUCCUACCUGCUGGCGCCGGCCGUACUGUCAGACCAUUUCUGCACGUACCGCGUCGGGGAGACGCCGGAGGACGGCCGGCUCUGCCUCCUGGCCGUGGGGAGUCGCUCGAGGCAGCUGCAGCUCUGGGUCCGCGCGGAGGCCAGAGGGAGCGACAAUGGGUGGUUUCUGGAGAGGGAGAUGCUCAACAUGCGUGUGGUGUGGGACGCAGUGCCAGGCCUGCCCAAUGACCUUGCCCACAGGAUCUUCAGUGUUUGGCCCAGCGACAUGGACGCGGGGCGUAGCGGGAAGGUGUUCAUCAGAACCAUAGGAUAUGGGCGCUACUCCUUACAUCUGGACACCGCCAAGAUUGAGCCCCUGCACACCAAACAUGGCAAGGAGUACGGCCACCCGAUCUUUGCCUACUUCCUCGCGUGGCCGCCUGCCUUCCUCGCUCCAGAAUACUGACGACUUUCUGGUGAUUGGUAAAACCUCCUUCCCUCUUCAAGAUGCCACUCAUCGAUGUUGCUUGAUCAUGAGCUUCAUUCCUCAGUUCAUUUCCUAUGUGGCUGCCUUGAGGUUUCGAUAUAUGAUGGUGGUAACGAUUGUGAAGCAAUCAUCCCAAAUACAUGUCUGUUUUAGAAUUUCUAGUCACGAUCUCUUUCUCGAUUCCUCUAGUUUUGGAUAUAUGCCGUUGGUAGAAGGUCUAAUGCAUGCGUAUAGUUUCUUCCUUUGCAUGGAUCAUAGUCUCUAGCUACACUGUACACAUGUUCAUUGCUAUCCUGGUCUGUCAUAUUUGGCAUACCAAAGCUUUCGCAAUUCGAUGGAGUUUGAAAUCAAAAACUAAUCUUUUGGUAGGUUUUAGGAAAUUUUCAAAAACUGGUAGUUUUUCGGAACCCUAACCCAAAUUAUGGUAGUUUUACGAUAUUUAAUCCUUUAGUUACUUAUUGCAGUGGCUGGGGCAGGCCGCUUGUCAUUGUUAGAUGUUAGCUUAUAGGCGACCUCUAGAAUUCCAAAAUGCAGGCUGGUUGCUUUAUUAUUUUGAAAAGAGGGGUGUUUUAAAAAAAAAAAGAGGGGUGGUUAACUGUUCAGUGAAUUGAAGGUAAAAUGUGUUUAUAUAAUAGGACUUUUAUGAAUUUUAUAUGCUUUGUUGAUUGUUUGGAAUCAGACCUUUUAUUUGUGUUUUCCUUGUACCAAAAGAAUAGAUCUUGUGUGUUAUGGAUAUUGUACUAACAAAUACAGUACUUUAUUAAUGGCCCUAGCACAGCAACGUACAUAGCGAAUUAGUAUGUGGGAGUGGGAUUUAUAAGUACAAGUCAGCAUGUUUUAUGGUUGCAACGUGAUUGUUAACUAUUUUUGAACAGUACUUGUGCUUGCAUUUCUUAAUUUCUCAUAGUAGUUGUGGGCAAGAUAGAUGUAAUUUGUAAAACAUAUGUGAUGCAUGCACUUUGAUUUGUUGAAUGAAUCAAAUAUUGCUAUUUGUUACAGCCCUUAACAACUAGAACAAAUAAAAUAAACAUUUCUACUUGUUCUGCCAAGUGAUGGCAGCCACUAACCAUUAGCUGAACUCUGACUGAAAAAGUGGAGAGCUGGAAAUAACAAUAACGGUGGGUUUCCUAAAGUUGGUCAUUUUUUUAUCGAAUGACUAAACUUUGGUCACUUAGAAGAGCAAAGAAACCUUAAUGUUGUUCAUCGUCUCAUUAGCACCUACAUAUAUUUUUUCCGUGGAAGUACCUUAUAUUUUGAAAAUUUUAUUGCUUGAAAUCAUUAAAUGCUGUCAGCAGUCUUUUGCUUUACUUGUACGUGGGCUUAAUGUUUGUAAUCGCAGUUUGCUUGUACAUAGACAUGGCUUAAUGUUGUGAAUAGCAAUCUACUAGUAUAUACUCCCUCCGUUCCAAAAUAGAUGACUCAAUUUUCUACCAACUUUAGUACAAAGUUGGGUCAUCUAUUUUGGAACGGAGGGAGUAGUAGUUUGUUCAGUUUAACAACAACCCAAUUGAUAGAACACUCUUCUCAUAAUACUCAGCAUUUCUCAACUGUUUCAGUUUUUGUAACGCCAUCUACAUAAACUUAAAUUUCCUUUUGCUUAUCAUAUCAGUUUAGCUUUUGUCUGAUGGCCUUCGAAUACGUUCGUGGUGUGUUAAUGGUUUGAUACACAGCAAAUUUGUGGCUUAUAUCUGCUAUUUAUGUGAAUCAGGUUCCUGACUUCUGAGAUGUGGAAUCAGCACAGUUUUCGUUUCAAGUCAGCUGGAAUCCUAUCACUUCUGGGCUCACUAAUGCCAUCUGCACCUUCACUCAACGCAAGAGGAAGAAGCUCCCAUUACCUUGUUUAAUUAGACUAUCUAAGCAAUGUCGCCAGCUCCUAUAUUUGUAUUUUAUCUAAGCAUCAUCUGGACCUGAUAUUCUCAAGACUGUUAUCUGAGCAUCAUCUGGACCUGAUAUUCUCAAGACUGUUUUAUCUAAGCAUGCCAGUAAUAUUUAUCGC
rnacentral:lncRNA from 1 species